rnacentral:lncRNA from 1 species
UGCACAAGGAUAUUAUUAUUAUUUAAAAAAAAUGGAAAAUAUCGAAAAUAAUUGUGUAUACAAUGACAUGUAAUAUUUAUUAUAUUUAUAUUGAGAUAGUUUUAACAUCAGUUUAAUUAAUCGUUCUGCUUCUACACGUAAACUUGGUCUAUAGUGAUUGUGCAUAACCAGUUGAAUAUAAGAUUUAAAUUUGAUGGAUUCAAAUAUAUUUUCUGAAAGAAUUUUCGUGAACUUCUAUUUAUAUAUCUAUACUUUGUAUAAAAUACUUAGGAUUAAGUUUGAACCCCUUGACUGCUAUAUAAUAUAGCGAGUAUCCAUUGCUUUAAAAUCCUGAAUCCGCCACUAGACUGAAGCAUUCAUUCAGACCCAUAAUAAACUUCCGCAACCUUCGUUGCACCAAAUUUUCAAAAUAAGAUCUAGAUUCUUCACAACCACAGGAUGGGAGGAGCACUUAAAUAUCUAUUUCAUCCAAUAAAUCUUUCAAUUUUGAGAAAUAACUUGUCAUUGAAUCAGUACUUUGUUUGAGUUUCAAUUCUUGUUCACAAAUGAUAAAUUCGAGUGAGGUUCAGUUAUCAAAAAUUAACGUCUUCCGCACCUUUGCCUUUCAUAUUUGUCCUAUGUUCGCUACCUAUUUUGAUCAAACUUUACUUCUUAUCAAUGACAAUACAACUUUGUUUUAGCAAAGAAUACUAUCAUAGUAGUUAAUAUAUUAUUAACAAAAGUACUGAAGCAAUAAAGCAAAAUAAGAAAAUGACUUGGGAAAACAAGUUCCUGGAAAAUAAAAUACAGUAGCUACCAAAAUAAAACAAGAAGAUAAGCAUGAACAGAAGGAAUGAAAAGCAAGCCCAGCUGCCGUGAUAUGAUGCCAGCUUUGAACACCUCAAGCUCUCAUAAGGUGUUACGGGAUCAUAACAGUUGAAUUCUCUUCAGGCAAACAUAGACAGGUCUGUGCAUCCUCAUGUUUUGCCUUUAAAUUUUGGUCUAAAUUACUCUGGCCGUCACAGUAGCUUGUACAAUUGUAUGCAUAAAAUUUUAUCAACAUGAUUCGCUCCUAACACAAUGAACUUCUAGGAUGCUAAUACCACAUUGAUAAGGAUUCAUGAGUGAUGCAGUUUAUUCCUACAUUAGUUUCAUAUCUGAAAAGUGUUGAUGUAUGAUCACGUUCCAGUAUAUGGACUGGAUGGUCUUGUUUGCAACUCUUCAAUCUGGUUCUCUUCCUCUAACAGGCUUGGUAAUGAUAUUUGGAGUCUGAUCUUUAUACAAAUUGACGAUCUUUCUUCCAGUAGAUGGUAUUUCUUGAAAGCCAUAUACUAGAUGAUCCACUUUUUGAUUUUCACCACAUUUCUUUCCAAUAGCCUCUCUGCCUUCCAGCAUCAUCUUCCAUAUUUUUGAGCCCCCUUUUCAAUACCGAGACAUAGGAAUAAGUGUUUAUUGUUUGUUCCACAUAAAGUUGGUUCAUAAUAAUCUUCUGGUUCUAAAUCUUCAUCAAAUCUAAGCACACAUAGCUUUUAAGUAUCAAACAUUAUUUGCCAAAAUGAGUAUCUGCAUUCACCUUCUUCCUUAGCUUAUUGUUUCAGAAAAACUUCGCAACUAUCUUAUGUAAAUAUAGCACAAAUUUGUUAGGUACUAUUGCAGAAAGAAAACGGAUGGGGAUAAUAUGAAGCACACUGGAAAUUAAAACUGCUUUCCUCCCACCAUGUGCUAGGAUCCUUCCUUUCAAGCCUGUAAUUUUCUCUUAACCUUUUUUAGCAAUUCACUGUAAUAUAACUUUCUUUUUUUGGAUGAGUUAUUGGAUAUUCUAGGUAUGCGAAAGGGAAUUGUCAUCUGGGCAUCCCAGUACAUUGCUCAACUUAUCCAAUCAACUCAGGUGCCACAUUUUGAUUCCUGUAGAAGACACUCCUUAUCUUUAUUAACACGGAAUACAUAAGCAACCCUUUGAACUUGUUCGAUUUUUCCACUUAAACACCUAAAGCAACAAUUAUACCUAUUUAACACCUCAACUAUAUUGAAACUAUGUCAAUUGAACACAAAUUACACAAUAUGAGAUUAGGUUUAGAGCGUGUAAGCCACUUGCCAUAAUAUGACAAAUAUAACCAAUGAUAAAAAUAAAUGUCAUGAAAAAAGAAAAAAGUCGAAAUUAAAAAAAAAAAAAACUUUUCCGCCUGUAUUAUUCUUCUUCCUCAUAUCAUUCCAACAUUGAAGCACCAAGAAACGAAGCAAGAUCUAAUACCAUAUAUACUCAGCUCGUUCUGUCUCCCUCUUAUUCCUCCAUUAUCACCCGCCUCUCCCUACAUUUGGCCUAUUUAGUGUCUUUUGAUUUUUCACUUACUUCUCAAACAGAAAUCAUAAAUAGAUAAUGGACAAAAAUUGCUUGAUAGAAGAAAAACUUAGACAUAAUUGGAUGCGGAGGUACGAUGUAAUGAAAGAAAGUUGGGCUAGUCCAUCAAAAUUGGGAAAUUGGGAAGAAAAAUUGGUUUUUUGAAAAACGAUGAGGCAACACAAAAGGGUUAAAAUUACUUUCAAUAAUUUUAGAAAAAUUGGUUUUUUGAAAAAAGAUGAGGCAACACAAAAGGGUUAAAAUUACUUUCAAUAAUUUUAGAAAAAUUGGUUUUUUGAAAAAAGAUGAGGCAACACAAAAGGGUUAAAAUUACUUUCAAUAAUUUUAGACACAAUGCAUAAACAUGCCCCUUAACUUGGCCUCAAAUCAUAUUUAUAACCUCCAACUUUGGGUGUGCACAAGUAGGUACUUAAAAAGGGGGCAAUCCUGUGCACUAAAGCUACUGCUAUACGUGGUAUCUGGGGAAGGGCCCCACUACAAAGGUGUAUUGUAUGCAUUCUUACCUUACAUUUCUGCCAGAGGUUGUUUCUAAGGCUUGCACUCAUGACUACCUGGUCACAUGGCUGCAACUUUACUUGAACAAGUAGACACAUAUGCCCUAUCUGACAUCUUACUUGACCAAUUCUUAUCCUACAUGACAUCCUACGUGUAUUAUCCCAAAAAGAAUGUGUGUUGAUAACUCUCAACUUACACGUCAAAUUAAGUGCAAGACGAUCAUUGUCAAUGUAGACACUUAAUUUUGUCCCUCCCGAAGAACAAUUUUAUUUAUUUUUAGCUCACCUUACCACGCACCUCACCCAUGUGAUUAUAUCCUACAAAAAUACAAAAAAUAACAACCCUUACCAAAAUCCCUAAUAAAUUGUAUCUUGUUUUAAUCAUCCUAACAACCUAACCCUACCCCUACCCUGCCACGUGGUCCCCACCCACUCACAAAAUCACGUCUAUUUAUCCCAUAACAGAAUAGAAUUAAAAAGAAAAAGAAUCUACCCUCACCCUUCUAGAAGGACCCCACUGGUCACCAGAUAUACAUAUGCAGAAUGCAAAAAAAAAAAAGGGAGAGCAUCUUUUGGAAGGGCCCGUCACUCUCAAUAGGCACAUAAACAACAUUCUCUCAAUUUUCACACAUAUACACACAUACCUCACAUACAGAACACAUACUCCUCCUUCUUCAUCAGGGAACUCACGCCCAUUUUCUUCUACAAAAAAAUACACAGCCAGGGAUGACAAUGGGGCGGUGCGGUGCGGGUUUUAAGCUAUGCGAGGCGGUGCGAAUUUUAAGUUAUGCAGUGCGGUGAAGGUUAAAGUAAGUUUUUUGUUAAAUGGUACGGUGUGGUGCGAGUUGCGGGUAUAUGCGGGUUUAAAUUUAAAAAAGCUAAAAAAUAUUGUUCUCGUGAAUAUACCUAAAAUUAUAUGUAUUCUUUACAUAAAACUUUAUGAUACUUAAAACAACAUGUAUAACACUACAAAUAAAUAAUUUUUUAGUAGCUUUUUUAACAUCUCUAUUCAUUUUAAUAAAACUAUGAUAUUUGAUCAUUACUUGUUCACGUUAUACUUUUUGAUAAUUUUUUAGUGAAAAGUGAUAUAAUAGAAAUGAGCUAUUAUUUUCUAGUUGUAGAUUUGAAAAUAUUAUGAUUUUCAAUGGAGUUACAAAUUUUUUUAAAAAAAGAAAAAAUAAAAAUAUGGGGUGGUGCGGUUAUGCGCGAGUAUAAUGUGCGGCCGGUUUAUGCAGGUUUAAAGGUGAUGCGGUGCGGUGCGGUUUUAAAACUUGUGGGUUUAGAAAAAACCCACACCGCACCAUUGUCAUCCCUAUACACAGCAACACCCUCACAAAAGCAAAAGACCAUCGUACGUCACAGAAUACAUACGCAUACACUCACAGUCAUUUUCACUGAUAUACUCACGGACGCACAACAUACCCACCAAAAAAUUAAAGAGAGGGAAGGGAGAGAUUGAACAAUAGAGAAGAUUGAGAGGGAUAGAGUUCGAGGAGGUCAAAAUAGUGAGAAAAAAAAGAAGCAAAAAUGGACUGAAAACCUUCAAUUUUCGAUUGGAACAGUGAACCGACGAGAAUUUGGUCACUGUUGAGAUUUACCGAUGGAGUUGACGCCGAAAUUAGUUUUCUGCAUAUCUCUUUGAUUGACCAGUCUAAAAUCCCCCAAAAUCCUUCCGUUGUUUUUGAUUUCUAAGUAUAUCCGGUUAGAAACACUGAGAUUCUCCAAAAUUCAAUCUGCGACGACGAUUCUCACCGUUAUCUGAGCUCGAUGGAGCUACGACCAUAUGUUUUUUUUUAUUUUCUUACGGAUUCGAGUUUCGAGUGUUCAUUACUCUUAGGUAGAUUUCCUGUUCGUGCCAUAUUUUAGGUUUUUGUGUUGGAGUUUGUUGAUUGAGGUUCUACUCGGGAUUUUCGAAUGCGGACUCUACCAGAUUUAAUUAGAAUAAUAUUUUGAUUUUGAAAGCGACAUUAAGGUCCAAUUCUAUCUUCUCUACCUUUAAUUUUAUGUAAUCGUGAAUGAUUUAUGUGUUCGAUGUGUUUGAAUCUUGACUGUGUAUUGGUGGAUAUUGGAUUUGAACUUGAAAACUUGAAUUGAUAAUCGAAGCAUGUGUUAAUCAUUGGUUAAUGGAUUCGGGGGAUUGAAAUUGAUAAAAGUAAAGGUGUAUUUAUUUUGAUUCAUUGUUAGCAGUUUAAUUUAGAAUAAGUAUGAAUGUUGUUAAAAUCGAUAGUAUCAUGAUAGGUCGAACGGGAUAGGCAAACGGUAGGCUUGGGUACACAAAUUUUGAAUUUGUGGAUUGUCGAGUAAUGUGAAAUGUUUGUUGAAUAAUUCUCUUUUUCUCACAUUUAGAAAUGUAUUCAUUUAGUCGGGGAAUGUCCCGUGGUCAUUUGUAUUCAUUCACCGGGGAAUGCCCCGAGGUACCUUGUAUUCGAAAGACGUUCGCGAUGAAGGCCUGGGGCAUCGGGUUAAUCAUUGGAGCGUAGUUUAGGAUUAGUAUAGGUUUACUUUUCAGUACCUUUUUUAUUUUGGGUUAUAAUAAUCGGACUUGACACUAUAAUUUUUGAAUUUUUUUUGUUUGUUUGUUUGAUUGAUUGUUUUGUGUGUUUUUGUGUGGUUUAUACAUUCGUAGUGUCAAAUCAGCCGAUACGCUCCACCAUGCGACCGUGGUCAAACCACGGGAUCGAGGGGUGCCUAAUACCUUCUCCUCGAUCAACAGAAUUCUUUAACUGGAAUCUCUGUUUGCGAAUCAGUUUUAGAGUCAAACUAUUUUGAAAAAGUAUUUUCAAAGGUGACUUGGCACACCCGAUCUAUGUCAAGUGGCGACUCAGAAUUUAAUUGUAAAAUGAAUCAUUUUUAAAACAAUCUUCAUUUUGUCACUUAAUAAUAAAAAUCCUUUCAAACUUAAAAUUAAUUUUUUUUUUUGGUUAAUAAAGGGGUGUGACAGCUCUGACGACUCUGCUGGAGAUUUUUCAGAAUUCAAGCUUAUUUUGGAGUUGUAUCGGCUUAUUUUGGCACUAUAAGUGUAUAGACAUUUUGUUUGUGUUGUUUUGUGUUAUUUUUUUAUAAUUGUUGAGUGCCUACGUGCUCUUUGUUUACAGUUUUUAUCUUAUGUGUAAUCGUUUUAUAUCUGGCAUCAUGUGCAUAACCCGAGUCAUUCUUUCUGCAACAAGUCUGUGGUACACGUGUGUACACUACCUCUAGUUGAGUCACCCUUAGUUUAGGAGAGGGAGACGUUGGGUUGUAUGGAGUAGGUGGAAAGCUGUCGCAGCCAUUAUCGAUUAUAUGCUUUCCCAAACAGCUUUGUUAGUGAACCCCAGUGUAGGUCAGCCUUUAGAUCAUACUUAUGUGCAUCAUAUUGACACCUAGCGGGGCUCACUUGGUCCUUUGUAGGAGACUCACCUCUAAAGCAUCCCUACGUGCUAAAUAUUGCAUCUCUACGGGUAACGAGGUCAUUUGAUAGACUGAUUUGGGGAAACGUAUGUUAGAAGUAAAAUGUAUAGGCAAUGAAAAAUUAAAAACUAAAGUGAGUCGAAAAGAAAACAAAAGUGAGUUUCGUAGUUUUUAGAGUUCUUUAUAGCUUUUGAUUUUUUUCACAAUCCAAAAAUUCAAAAAAAGACUUUUUACCUUUCGCACUCAUCUUCUAAAAAAUAUCAAAAAGAUUUCCUUUUGUUCAUUUACCAUGUAUUCAUAAUUCAAAAAUUUCAAAUAUAUAUAUAUAUAUAUAUAUAUAUACACACAUAUAUAUUUAAGAGCUUUUUAUAAAAGAAAAUUCAAAAAAGAUGAUAGAAGUUUUGUACAUUUUAUAUAACAAAAAUACCAAAAAGAUUUUUCUUUCAUAGUUGUGAUGUCAGUUUUAUGUGAAGUGUCUGAUUAAAACCCCAAAAAAGAUUUUAUUCGUCUGUCUUUGGUCGUGCCUCUUAAGUUAGGGUCAAUCUAUUAAUUAAUCAUUAAUUUUCCAAUCUGGACGAACCACACACCCCUGAUUCUCCUUUCUCAGGAGUGAGAUACAUAGGCAGCCUAUUGUGGGUUCAAGGAUCUUAUUUCAAAAAUUCAAAAAAAAAUUUCUUCACUCUUCAUUUAGAGUAGGUGUUUCAUGUACACCUUUAAAAGAAAACUACAUAAAAGAUUUUUCUUUAAUAGGUUCAAGUUUCAUUCUCAUAUGAAAUUCAAAAUCUAAAACCCAAAAAGAUUUUCUUUGGUAAUCAUAGGUUUCAUUUCAUAUAGGAAUCUGAAAAAUUCAAACAGCUUUUCUUCACUCUUCAUUUAGAGUAGGUGUCAUAUACAUCUUUAAAAUAAAAAUACAAAAAGAUUUUUCUUUAAUAGGUUCAAGUUUCAUUCUCUUAUGAAAUCCAAAAUUCAAAACCCAAAAAGAUUUUCUUUUGUAAUCAUAGGUUUUAUUUUGUAUAGGGAUUUAAAAUUGAAAAAUUCAAAAAAGAUUUUCGUCAAUUCUUUUGACAAAUUGUUAUUUUCUUUUCUUCUUAAAGUUUCAAGAAAAGGAAAAAAAGAGUUUAAUUGGCCAUUUUGGCAAGACUUCACGAACUAUGCACACCUAAUUCUCCUCUCUCGGGAGAGAGAUACGUAGGCACCCUUCUUGGGUUCGAUGAUCUUUUCAAAAGAAAAGCAGAAAAAGUGUUUUUAAAAAGUGUUGCAUUCUAACGCCUUUGUCAUCUCUUGUUCAGUUAGUUUAAGGUGGUUGGUUUAUGGUAUUUUGGCUGGUCCUCCACAUUGCACCAAGUCGAAGAGAAAGUUAUGUCUAACAAGGAUAUAGAGAGUGACCUCAUGGAUCAAAUAAGUCAGGAAAAUGAUAGUUUUAAGAAAAAUAAUUUGAGACUAAGACAAUGAAUGAUGGAAAUAUAUCGAUCUUAGGCUAGUGGGCUGCCUCCUCCUCCAUCUCCCACUUUUGACCCUGAAAAUACCUUGAGUUUUCUAUCACAAUCGCUAAGCCAGUUUCCUACUUUUGUUGAUGCACCACAGCAAGCCUCAGAAUCCAUUUUAAGCCAAAAGUGUACUAAUGCUUCCAUCACUUAUUCUCUAGCCCUUCAGUAUAAAUCUACCACAUUGACAGCACCACAUAUGCUAGGACAGUGCUGAUUUCAGUUCAAACUGUUUAUCUGGACCGAUAAUUUAUUUAUCGGGUUAACGGUUUGAUUUUUAAACUUAUCGGUUCGGGGGACGAUUUUAAAUUUCUCAUUAAUGGGUUAUCGGUUCGAGUGGCAGUUUUCUUAAAAUUUAUAUCGGGCCACCCGAUAACCCGAUAGUCAAAUAGAGGACCAUAUAUAAUUUUUAUUUCUAAGUCUAUUACCCACCGCCCAUCCCAAUUAAAUCCCAUUUCCCAAGCCCAGUAGCCCACCGUCAUUACUUACCCUAGAGACUUAGGUUUUCUCAUUACAUAUUUUAUUUCUGAAUUUUCGGUAUGUCUCUCACUCUCUCUAUCUCUCAACAAAUUGAUAAUAUCAGUAGACCCAAAAGUCGAUACUCAAGGCUUCAAGCUCAACAUUUGUUGAAAACUCAAAGAGAUUAAAGAUGGCCAAAAACGAUUUGCUGCUUGGCUCUUGUUGUUGCGCUCACAGGUAAUAAUUUUUGCUCUUCUUACUGCUCAAUCUUACUUUAAAGAUUUGAAGUCUAAAAUUCUUCUGCUUUAUCUUCAAUUCUAUUCAAUUUCUAACCUAUAAUAUAUGCUUAUACAAAGUUUGGCUUGAUCCACACAAGGGCGGCCUAUAUAUUCUAAUUUCCAGUUCACUAUGUUUUUUGUCUUUCUGAUGUACGUGUAUAAAUUGUACUCGAUGAUUUGAACUGAUUUUAGUAUUAUUGAUGUGUGGUUGCUUGAAUUUAGUAGUUCUUGAUGUAAAAAUCUGGUCUUUUUUGUGUUUUUGCUAUAGGUCUGAUGAAUGCAUCUGGAGAUUUGAACUGAUUUUAGUAUUAAUGAUAUGGUGUUUGUUUUUUAGGAAGAUGGGUGCUUGAAUUUAGCAGUUCUUGAUGUGAAAAUCUGAUCUUUUUGUGCUUCUGUUGCAUGUGUAUUGAUUGUACUUUGUGAUUUGAACUGAAUUUACUUUUAAUCAUGUGGUGUUUGUUUUUUUGGUGGAGGGUUACUUAAAUUUAGCAUUUUUUUGAUGUAAAAAUCUUAUCUUUUUGUGUUCUGCUAUAUGUAUACUGAUUGUAUUUGGAUUUUUGAACUAAUUUUAGUAUUACUGAUGUGGGGUUUGACUUUUGAGGGGAGGGGGUGCUUGGAUUGAGUAGUUUUUGAUGUAAAAAUAUGAUCUUUUUUGUGCUCUUGCUAUCUGUGUACUAAUUGUAGUCGGUAAUUUGAACUGAUUUUUCAGUUUAUUUUUGCUUUGGUUUGCAUCAAUGUAUGGAUCAUCUUUGUUUCUGAUCUGAUGCACUUAAAACUCUUAAUUUCUCAGUGUCACCUGGUACCUUUUCUGGGUCAUGAUGUCAUUGGCAAGUAUUUUGAUCGCAUAGUACUAAGAUAUAAAAGCAUUUAAGAAAUGGUCAUUUAUACUUCUUGGUAGUGGACCCAAACUACGAGUGAUGCUUUUUCUAUACAACUCUCUUGCUUGCUUAUAGCUGCGACCCUUUGUCUUUUUUAUUCAUAACAUAUGUUACCUCAAACAUCAUGGAUAGUACUAAGAAGUAGGGUCCUAAGCAGUAGAUUACUAGCUUUGGACUUCAAAUUAGAUAUGUUUAAUAUUAACGGUUAACCCAAUAACCGAACCAAUGACAACAAAAACUGAAAAAUUGAUAACUAAUAUCUUAACAGUUCUUUAACGGUUUAGCAUAUAUACAAACCGAUAAUGAAUAAGUAAAAUUGAUAAUUUUUAAAACCGAACCGAACCGACCGAUAUACAGCCCUACAUACUGCCUGUGCUUUUGUUGCUUAACCUUCUAUUGAGGCUUCCACUUUGGCUAUCAAUCCAAUGGUUGUACUUCCCCGGGCCACUAGUGAAUACAUGUUCAAUACUCUUGAUGAUCAUUGAUAUAUUUCUGAGCCCACAUCAAUGUUAAUUGGACCACCAAAAUUUCUUAACAAGAAGAAGCCUAGGGAUAAUUUUACACCAAUUGGAGAGUCGUAUGCCAUUUUAUUCCAGAAAUUGAAAGAGUUGUGCAUGAUCACUCCUCUCUUUGGGUAUACUCUUGACCCAUAUUUAAGAAAUUUUGAUCCUCAUGUACGAUGUGCAUAUCAUUUUGAUGUUCAGGGUCACAGUAUUAAAGACUGUCAUGCUUUGAAAAGAGAAAUAGAAAAUAUGAUUUAAGACAAAUCGAUUGUGGUGCAAAACAUUGACAAUGAGGGAAGCUCUAGUCGUGAUGAUAUGCAAACCAGUGGAUAAGAUGUUAGGCUGAGCAAUUGAGAAGUCACCUCUCUCCUUAUUAGGAAGAGGUCUGGUAGUUUGUUUUAUUUUAUUUUCUAUUAUCUGAAUUAUUUCAGAGUUAUAGUUCAGGAUCUAUCUUGUUUUUUCCCUUUGUCGUUAUGUUCAAACCCUUCUAUCUUUCAUUUUAAUUAAAUGGAGUGUCCCUUUUUACUUUGUGUUUUAAAUAUGUAUUGCUUGUUUAGUUUUUUACAUAGCACAUUUUAUGUUGAUUCUAGUGAUAUGACAUGCUGGCAGAAUUUUCAGCCAGAUCUUGAACUCCAGUUUAAGCAUGAACAUUGAAUCAGAGGGUUAAAGUUUGAAAAAGAGAGCAUCUGAGAAAAUAGAUAGAGUGUUGAGAUAUUUGAUGACAAAUUGAAGCCUUCUUUUAAAAUUAAGGCAUUAUUUGGAGAAUCACAAGAAUAACUUGGUCAUCAAUUCAAAGUCAUGGCUCAAUUAGGUCCAAUGGUGGUUACGUGAAUAGAAGAAAAUCAUCUCCAUAAGAUCUUGAGUCAUUCAAUGUAAGGAAUAUACAAAAAAAGUGGAGUUGUAUGCUAGAAAAGCGCAGAAGAAGUAGUGGAGCACAGACUCAUGCUUAAAAAGAUGUCACAAAUGAUCUUUAUCUCUCACUUUCAUAUUGCAUGAUAUGUACUUGCAUUUUUAAGGAUUGAUACGAUGAAGGCAUUUCAUUCUGCUAUCCAAAUAUCGUGUCAUCCUUUAUUUACCCCAUUUGAGCUUUAGUCCUAUUUUAUUUCAUAUCCCUUUUUUGGAAUCAAGAUAGAGUUAGCAAAGCUCAAAAGAAAAGUAUCGAGCAAAAUAGUAGAGUUAGAAAAAGUUCAAAAAAAAGAAGAAAAUGAAAAUAUGUCCAAAGAAAAAGAAAAGAAAAGAGUGUCAAGAAAAAUAGAGUCAGAAAGUUUCAAAGAAAAAAAGAGCCAAUAAUUAAAAAAAAAGAAAAAAAUCAGAAUCAAGCAAAAAAAAUGAGUUGUCAGAACUACGCGUAACCUAAUUCUUCUCUCUCGAGGGUGAGAUACAUAGGCCACCUUACUCCGGGCUCGGUCCAACCAAAUAAACAGUUUAGAGUCACCUAGCCAAAAGAAACUGAGGCAUGAGUUAAUCCUCAUUGUUUGAGUUGAUUCUAAAAGUUGUAAGUCCUAACCAACUUCAAGUGUCGUUUGGGCCUUCAAGUGUCGUUUGGGCCGCAUGCCAUCCCUUCUUUCUAAGCUUAUCCAAAACCCAAGUUACAACCAAAGAAAGACCUUCAGAUCAAUCUUUGAGAAUGAUAAGUCUAAGCAUGCAAUGCAUAUGAUAGGCAUUUUAGGAACUACUUGUCUUCCUCGUUAUAAGAAAUCUGGAGAGAAAUAAAAAUGAGAGUCUUAUUUGUUAAAACCCUUUCAGCCACCGUAAGAUGAUGAUAAGUUGAGAGAAAUAAAAAUGAGAGAGUUUUAUUGGUGAAAACCCUCAUGGGCGCUAUAAAGUGAUGGUAAGUUGGGAGAGAUAAAAAUAAGAGAGUCUUAUCGGUAAAAACCCUCACGGGCACUGUAAGAUGAUAGUGAGCCGAGAGAAAAAUGAGAGAGGCUUGUUGGCAAAAACCCUUCAAGGCAUCACUAGCCGAAUGAGGUCUUGAAUGCAAUUGACCUAAGAUAGCAACCCAAUUUCAAGAACUUUAACUCAACAACAGCUGGUAGAAACUGUGGGUAGAAAGAUCAGGAAGAUUAAUCCAAAUGCAUGGCAUAAUCAUUAGAGUUUACUUUCAUUUUUAGAUAAAUUUUUCAUUUCUUUCAAAUGGGGACAUUCAUUGUCUUUUCUUUCUUCUCUGUGUUUUUAUUUUAUUUUUCUUGAGUCAGUUAUCCAAAUAAAAAAAGCAUUAUCAUUUUUUCUCUUAUCUUUGAGUCAAGUCCAUGUCAAAAUAAGUGAGAAAAGAUUUCAAAACUGGCUACCAGCUCCUUCAAUUGCAUAAAGCAAGACAAGGGGGACAACACAUGAAAGAAACAAGAUUGCAAGUCAGAACAAGGCUUGUAGAAGGUUGUUGUAAACACACAAACCUGGAGAAUUCAUGGAAAUACCAAGGUUUAAAGGGAGUCUGAGAAGCAUAGAAAAGCAGAGAUACUGUGUUUGUUUCAGAGUCACUCUUAAUAUUCAAAGUUUAGACCUAUAGUGCAACAAGGCAAUGGCAAAUGCUAAUGAUAGGACGCAAGAUCUAAAUGGGACAAGUGCAGGAGAAAUCUCCUCAAAAUCCAAAGCCGCAAGCCAACCACUCUGUUUUAAACUGACAAAUUUUUCUUUGAUGAAAUAGGGGCAAAGUUCUGUUCAUUAAGUUCAGCUAUUAUUGGGAAAGCAUAUCCAGGAAUUUACUUUAUGUUCAGGACCCUCCUGAAAAAUGAGAAUUUACUUUAUGUUCAGGACCUUCCUAGAAAAUGGUAAUUUACUUUAUGUUCAGGACCCUCUUGGAAAAUAAGAAUUUACUUUAUGUUCAGGACCCUCAUGAAAAAUGGAAAUUAACUUAUGUUCAGCACUCUCCUGGAAAAUGAAAAUUUACUUUAUGUUCAGGACCCUCAUAAAAACUGAGAAUUUACUUUAUGUUCAGGACCCUCCUGGAAAAUGAGAAUUUACUUUCUGCGUAGGACCCUUCUGGAAAAUGGGAAUUUACUUUAUGUUCAGGACCCUCCUGAAAAAUGAGAAUUUAUUUAUGUUCAGGACCCUCUUGGAAAAUGGGAAUUUACUUUAUGUUCAGGACCCUCCUGGAAAAUGGGAAUUUACUUUAUGUUCAGGACCCUCCUGAAAAAUGGGAAUUUACUUUAUGUUCAGGACUCUCCUGAAAAAUGGGAAUUUACUUCUGUUUAGGACUCUCCUGGAAAAUGAAAAUUUAGUUUCUAUUCAGGUUCUUCCUGUAAAAUAGGAAUUUACUUUAUGUUCAGGACCGUCCUGGAAAAUGAGAAUUUACUUCAUGAUCAAGUUCCUCCUGGAAAAUGGGAAUUUACUUCAUGUUUAGGAUCCUCCUGGAAAAUGGAAAUUUACUUCAUGUUCAGGACCCUCCUAAAAAAUGGGAAUUUACUUCAUGUGCAGGACCCUCUUAGAAAAUGGAAAUUUACUUCAUGAUUAGGACACUCCUAAAAAAUGUGAAUUUACUUUAUGUUCAGGACCCUCCUAAAAAAUGGGACAUUACUUUCAGAAAAAUGAAUCUUUCUUUAUCGUAAGCUUUGUUCGGGAUAAUUUUUGUUCUAGUUUUGAGUUUGAUUUCAGGAGCCAUCUUGAAGAACAGGAUAAUAAAAUUAUAAGUCAGGAGCCCGCCUGAAGAACAGGAUGAUGAAAUUAAAAGACAAGAACUCACCCGAAGAACAGAGUGAUGAAGUUGUAAGUCAGAAGCCCGCCUGAAGAACAAAGUGAUGAAAUUAAAAUUCAGGAGCCCUCCUUAAGAACAGGGUGAUGAAAUUAAAAGUCAGGAGCCCUCCUGAAGAACAGGGUGAUGAAAAUUGAAAGUCAGGAGCCCGCCUGAAAAAUCAGGUGAUGAAAUUAAAAGUCAGGAGCCAGCCUGAAGAACAAGGGUGAUGAAAUUAAAAGUUAGGAGCCCGCCUGAAGAACAGGGUGAUGAAAAUUGAAAGUCAAAAGCCCGCCUAAAAAAUAGGGUGAUGAAAUUGAAAGUCAGGAGCCCGCAUGAAGAAUAGGGUGAUGAAAAUUGAAAGUCGGGAGCCCGCCUGAAGAAUAGGGUGAUGAAAUUGAAAGUCAGGAGCUCGCCCUGAAGAACAAGAUUGAUGAAAUUGAAAGUCAGGAGCCCGCUUGAAGAAUAGGAUGAUGAAAUUGAAAGUCAGGAGCUCGCCGAAAGAACAGGUGAUGAAAAUUGGAUGUAAGGAUCCCGCCUGAAGAACAGGGUGAUGAAAUUGCAAGUCAGGAGCCCACCAGAAGAACAGGGUGAUGAAAUUGAAAAUCAGGAGCCCACCUGAAGAAUAGAGUGAUGAAAUUAAAAGUUAGGAUCCCGCCUAAAGAACAAGGGUGAUGAAAAUUGAAAGUCAGGAGUUCGUCUGAAGGACAAGGGUGAAGAAAAUUGAAAGUCAGGAGCCCACCUGAAGAACAGGGUGAUGAAAUUAAAAGUCAAGCAACAAGGUGAAAGAAUUGAAGGUCAAGUAACAAAGGUAAGAGAUGGAAAGCCAAGCAAUAAGGUGAAGCAAUUGAAAGCCAAGCAACAAGUUGAAGAAAUUGCAAGUCAGGAGUCCGCCUGAAGAAUAGGGUGAUGAAACACAAGUCAAGAAGUCCCAACAAAAGCUGCAUAGAUAGGACUUGUAAUUUCAUUUAUGUUUUUAACUUGUAAUUUUUAUUUUUGAUGUAAAGAUAGAGCCGCGGACUGGAACCUCGACAGGGCCUCACUCGACUCUCCAACUCGGUAUAGUCCCUCUUCUUCCAGCCUUUAAGAUACUUGUGACUUGAUUUCCUCAUAACUUAGGUAGGUAGGAUGUCCUAAGUCAAGACUCAAUUGCCCUUCUUCCUUCUAUUUCAUUCUUUUGGAAUAAUGGUUGGGAUAAAAUUCUGUCUCGUUGUCUACUUCUUUAUCUGAAAAUACUUCGUGUUUACAUUCAAAGAGGAAAUUUUGUAGGCACCUAAUUUUGUCCCUCCCGAAGUCCAAUUUUAUUCAUUUUUGGCUCACCUUACCACGCACCUCACCCAUGUGAUUAAAAAUACAAAAAAUAAAACCCUUAACAAAAUCCCUAACAAAUUUAAUCUUGUUUUAAUCAUCCUAACAACCGAACCCUACCCCUUCUCUACCACGUGGUCCCCACCCAGUCACAAACUCACGUCCAUUUAUCCCAUAACUUAAUAGAAUUAAAAAAAAUAGGGAAUCCAGUCUCACCCUUCUAGAAGGACCCUACUGGUCACCAUAUAUACAUACACAGAAUACGAAUAAAGCGGAAGAGCAUCUUUUGGAUGGGCCCGUAACUCUCAAUAGGCACACAAACAACAUUCUCUCUAUUUUCACACAUAUACACUCAAACCUCACAUACAGAACACAUACUCUUCCUUCUUCAUUAGAGAACUCAAGCCCAUACUCUUCUAUAAAAUAAUACACAUCAACACCCAGAAAAAGAGCAAAAAACCAUCGUGACUCACAGAAUACAUACACACACACUCACAGUCACUUUUACUGAUAUACUCAGCGGUGCACAACACACCCUUAGGAAAAUUAAAGAGAGAAAAGAGAGAGCUUGAAAACUAGAGAAGAUCAAGAGGUACAGAACUCGAGAGGGUCAAAACAGUGAGAAAAAAGAGCAAAAAUGGACUUGAAUUGAUAAUGAAGCAUGUGUUAAUCAUUGGUUAAUGGAUUCAGGGGAUUGAAAUUGAUAAAAGUAAAGGCGUAUUUGUUUUGAUUCAUUAUUAGCGGAUUAAUUUAGAAUAAGUAUGAAUGUUGUUGAAAUCGAUAGUAUCAUGAUAGGUUGAACGGGAUAGGAAAACGGUAGGCUUGGGUAGGCAAAUUUAGAAUUUCUGGAUUGUCGAGUAAUAUGGAAUGUUUGUUGAAUAAUUCUCUUUUUCUUGAAUUUGGAAAUGUAUUCAUUUAGUUGGGGAAUGCCCCGUGGUCAUUUGUAUUCAUUCACCGGGGAAUGCCCCGAGGUACCUUAUAUUCGGAAGACGUUCACGAUGAAGGCCCGAGGCAUCGGGUAAAGCAUUGAAGUGUAGUUUAGGGUUAGUAUAGGUUUACUUUUCAGUACCUUUUUUAUUUUGGAUUGUAAUAGUUGGACUGGACACUAUAAUUUUGGAAUUGUUUUGUUUGUUUGUUUGAUUGAUUGUUUUGUGUGUUUUUAUGUGGUUUAUACAUUAGUAGUGUCAAAUUAUCCGAUACGCUCCACCAAGCGACCAUGGUCAAACCACUAGAUCGAGGGGUGCCUAACACCUUCCCCUCAAUCAACAAAAUUCCUUAACUGGAAUCUCUGUUUACGAAUCAGUUUUAUAGUCAAACUGUUUUGAAAAAAGAUUUUCAAAGGUUACUUGAAACACCUGAUCUAUGACAAAUGGUGACUCUGAAUUUAAUUCUAAAUUGAGUCCUUUUCGAAACAAUCUUCAUUUUGCCACUUAAUAACAAAAACCCUUUCAAACUUAAAAUUAAUCUUUUUUGGUUUAAAAAAGGGGUGUGACAGUCAAUAUAAUACCCAACUUUGAGUCGAAGUCAAAUCCACGAGGAACAAUGUGAAUGGUGAUUGAUUAAGUUUGAAAUAUUCAAAUAUGGGGAUACAAAUAUUUAGGGGUUUUGAAUGUCGUUGAAACUAAAACAACUUUAGGGCUUCUACAAGACUAACUUGAGGCUAAGAAUAAUUAGAGUAUAAUUAAUUAGGAAUGGAUCCUGGGGUUCAGCCAUUCUAGGUGUGAAUUCAUACAUGGAUAAUUGAGAAUUUAUCCAAAUUUAGCUAGGAGUCUUGGGUAGGCUAGAUUUGAGGUAUUAACAUUAGCCUUUCAAAAAAACACUAAAUUUCACUCAUGGAAUCUUUCAAAUUCCUCAUGAGCGCGACAAAAUCAUCAAUUCAAUACCUCAUAUUAGGAUCCUUAUUUCUAAGAUAAUGCGUAUGAACAUAUCAAAUGUACGCAAUAUCCCUAUUUCUUAGAUAAUGAUAUGAGAGAAACUAAUACAAAGUGUAGUUAACUACUACUCAUUACUCAUAUCCCUCUUUCAAGGAUGAUAUGGGAUCCAAGUCAAUUGUGUUUUUCACCCACAAAUCUUAAUUCCAACCUAGAGUAAUAGCAAAACCCACAACAAAUAGCUAAUUAGGUAGAUAAAUAAAUAGCACCCAUGAACUAAUCACAACUUAUCCAAGCAUAACCCCAAGAGGAAGAACUAGCUACUCUUAAAGAUAGAGAGUAGAGAUAUACCAAAAUUUCCACCAAAUUGAUCCAUGAAAGAUAAAGAGAAUGUAAAUCCAAACUUUAAAUUUCAAUAAACCUUCAAUCGAAAUUCCUAAUCCUUCACUUAGGAAUUACUCUAAGGUCUUUUUAGCUUAAGAGUAGUACAAAAAUAAUGAUUCAAGCACCAAGACAUGAGAUAAAAAUUCCUAAAGAUCCCCUUCAUGUAAAAGGGUUUAACCCCUUAUGAUUUGGUCUCAGCUCUGUGAAAUUACAAUACUUCCCUCGAGACUUUUUUGCCCUAUCAUGAUCACCAUUCCUUGGAUGCGAUCAUGAUACCGUGAUCACAGUGGUCUUAUCGUGAUCGCCCUUUAAUUGACUGGUCACGAUAGCGACCUUUAGGUCGCGAUCGCGGUACCUGAGGGUCGAUUCCUAGGCCUGUAUUUUUAGCUUUUUCUCCUUUUUGUCCAUUUUCCUUUCCUUUCAUCUUGAUUUCAACUCAUUUUCAUCAUAGUACCUACAAGAUAACAAAAAUUAUAAAUUAAUGCAUUUCAAUAUAGAAUUAGCCUCGUUUACACAUUUUAAUCAUAGUAGUGUGCAAGAAUUUGGAUAUUAAUGAGUGGUAAAUUUGUCACUUAUCAACACCCUUAAAUUAAAAACUUUGCUUUUCCUCAAGCAACACUACUCUAUACUCAAUGAGGAUAAUCAACUUAUAUGUCCAUUCUUAUAACCAAAUGAUCACCAUGAUUCUGAUCUCGGUUAGUAGUAAUAAUUAACCAACAAGUAUGAGAGUAACUUUUAUGCAACUUUCCUCAAAAUCAAUCAUAUCGCUAAGGAGACAAAAGACUUUUAUGAACAAUCAAGCAACAACUACUAACUAUCUAGGAGUGACUCUCUAUCAAUAGUAACUCAACUAUACUCCUUUGCCUCAUUUUCAUAACAUGAAAAUUUCACCAACCUCUAUUAAUUUGCAUGCCUCCUCACGAAGAGAGUCCCAACAUAACUUAAUUUCUAGAAUGUAACAAGGGACAAAUGUGUAAGCACUCACUCUCACAAAGAAUUUCUCAAUACACACAAGUAUCAAGCCAUAUGCUUGCCCUUAUUUUCAACUGAAAUUAACUCAAAAAUACAUGGUUGGAGAUCUCGAAGGACUUUCUCAAGCUUGUAAUGUUGGUUCGAGAAAGGGUAGGAUAAAUAUUUGGGAAAAUGAUGAUUAUUCCCUCAUUGAACUCACAUUUUACACUACUAGAUCAAACUUUGAUUCAUGGGCCACUUUGUUUCUUUCCAACUUUCACAUGUGCCUACGUUUACUACCUUGAUUCACCCUUCUUUUGAAAGCGUGUUCUUCUCAUCUAUUUUCUUUGUACAAUUCAUGCAUUUAUUUUCUUUGUUGAAUCCUUUAUUUUUUUUUCUAUUUAUUUUUUCUCAUUGUUUAGCUCUUAAGCACCCACUUACAAUUCUGUGGCCCAAAGUUACCUCUUCUAAGAUAUACCACCCCUAACUUAGGCUUUUAGCCUCUUUCAAGUUCAUAUAGGAUAGGGUUCAAAAGAGGGAUAAAAUUCAAAUGGCUCAUGGCUUGUAAUCUGGUUGCCAAAAAAAGGUUCAAAGGCUUAAAGUGGGUAACUAGGGAUGCAAUCUAUGUACAGAUAGGCUUUUUAGGUUUAAGUGGAUUUCCAUCAUCACAAAGAAGGCCUAAGAUCAUUCCUCCAGCUACGUGUAAUCAAUAUUAGCUUUGAAAGACCAAUGGGGGUAAGUUCUAGAUGACAUAAGUAAGUAUAAGAAUAAAUCAACUACACUCACCGCACAUGGCAUGCAAACUUUUUAAGGAUGAUCAAUUGCAUUUUCUACUAGAGACAAAAGGAGUUAUUUACAAUGCAUUACCUACUAAAGAAUUUGGAUUCACAAAAAGAUAGUAAAGAGACGUUACAUAAUUAUUCACGUCCAUGUCCUUGAUUUUUAUAAAAUAUUUUGGACGGAGCGGAUGCGUGUUUUGUAUUUCACUAUGCAAUAUGGCUAUUGCUAGCACUAAAUCAAGUCGUUAUCUUAUAUUUAUGCUCUCACAAGGGCAUACCAUUUGGCUACUCAGGCUUCACCAUAGGAAUAACGGCAAUCCCAAAUAUAGCAUGCCAUGGGUACUCAGACUUCUCCUAUAUCUACAACUCAAAACCUCAACACAACCAUUUUUCCUUUAAAAUAUCGUCUAUCAAUGUAUCAUAGGGAAAGGCUCGUCCAACAUCAUUAUUAAAAGAGGGAUUAAGAAGAAUAAAAAGCUAAAAAUGCAAAAAAUAAUUCCCAAAGUUUCUGUAUUUAGUGUGAACGAGAUUUCUAUAUUACCAAUCAAGUGCAAAUUAUGAAACACAAGCACAUACACCCAACUUGAAGGCUUACGGUGCCCUCACUACAUAUCAUAAAAGCAUAAGAAGGAUAAAAUGAGCUCUCUUACGCUAAAACAUGGGUUAACAUUUUCUACAUAACCAUGAUCGCAACAGGCUGAGUUGCAAUCAUAAUCGCAAUCCAUGGACCGCAAUCGCGAUAUCUGAGAUAGAUUUUCCCCUAUUUUCCCCUAUUAUUUUGCAUGGCUGACAACUUUUUAACUCAGUUUUCCCUUAUUUUUGCGCUUUCAAUCUGUCCAACACCUAUAGAGCAUCAAAACUAAGUGAAUUUGUUAAAGAUAAAUGAAAGAACUAUGUAACCAAUAGGUUACCUCCCAUCAAGCGUCUUAGUUAAAGUCGCAACAUGACAUCUUUUGACUAUCACUUAUGUCUCCACUUAAAGGAUUUGAAUCGUCGGCCCAACUUUUGAUCCAUACAUCUUCAAGGUACUUUGGAAAAAUAUAAGGUCACAACGAUACAUAUUUUAUCUCACAACUUUGAAGACUUGAACCUUUUACCAACUUCACACCAAACUUUCGAAUAGGUUCAUUGGGUAUUUGAUACAGGACAAAUGGUCAUCUUAUGUUUUAAUGACAUCUUUGGAGGCCAACACAUAGAGGCUCAAGACUUGGUCACCUCGAGAAUACAAGAACAUGUAUGGAGGACCCGUAGUUGGGUGUUGGACUUGUUGUUGUCGUUCUUGAAACAUUGUUGUUGUGUUCUUGUUGUUCUUCACCCUUUCAUCUUUUGUUAACACAGGAAAAGUGAACUUUAAAUCUAUAAAAGGUGAAAUAAAAGUUGUAGUAGUUGUUGGUGAAAGGACUAGUUCACAUCACUCAUAGACUUGACAUCAACUUUUUCAACCAUUUUUUCAUAUUUCAAGGAGCCUUGUUUUGCAGAACUAGUACAAGUCAAAUCUCACCUUUUGAGUUGAAUUUGAAAAGAGUUACAAGACUUUUUCUUUCCUUCCAAAUACUAAUUGUCUUCCAUUCCAAAAUUAUAAGGAAUAAAAAUUUCAAGAAUGGUGAUUAAAACUUGAUAAAACCGAACCAAUACGUGGUUUCCAUGUCAUCACUGCUACUGUUCACACAAUAUUUUUUUGAGCUCAAAUUUUAGAUUCUUAGUUUCAUCUUAUUAUUUCAUUAGUUUCAUGUCUUGAUUCUAGAAUUAAUUAACAACUAGUAAUCACCUACUUAGUUGUAGAUUAAUUAUUGAAUUUGUUUCUUUUGUGUCUUCAUUAUUUGUGAGCUCUUCUUGUUUUUAACUCGUUGUAACUUCUUUAUUUCAAGUUUGUAAGUAAAUUUUAUUUUGUGUCUUGAGUCGAUCAAACAUGAAUCUAUUCCAUCCACCAAUUAGAAUUGACAUCCUAUUGACUACUUGAGUAUAAGCAACUUUCAAUAUUCACUGCUCCAAUUGUGAGAAUCACAAUUGGUGAGUGUGUAUGAGUGUUGGUGGGGAUCUUUACUACUAAUCUUGUUUGUUCAUUUUAUAGGUUUAAAGGGUGAUAUAAGGGGAACAUGAUUUUGAUAGCCGGGGAUUAUUGUGACUACAAUAUGGGAGACUAUGAUUGUAGUGAGGGUUUUUAUGGCUAUGAAGUUGAGGGAGAUUACGGAGACUAUGAAAAUAGCCAUGAUAAAAACAUAGGUAGAUUUGAAAGUUACUGCUUUGAGGGAGAAAAUGAGGUGAAUGAAGUUCCUAGUGCUUAUGGUGACUUUGGAUAUGAUGUAGGACCUCGUGAUGGAUCUUAUGAUGAAGUUGGGACAUGUGAGGAGUCUUGCACUCCCCACUCCGAACCUAGAUUUGGUGUUAGGUAUAACCCUUUCAUUCGCAAACCUUAUGAGAGCUAUGAUGAGAGUACACAUGAGGAGUGUGAAGAUUCAUAUUCUCCACCUUGUAGUACUUCUUAUCAAGGUCGAUAUAGUAUGAAUGGUUGUACUAGCUAUAGUGUAGGUUGUCCAAUAAGAAGAAGAGGGUAUGCGUCUCCAAAACCGAGGGGUACUCAUAUGCUUUACAGUGUUGAUCUAAGAAGGAGUGUACACUUCGGAAAGGUGACCAUUUGUGGGAUACCGGGAUGCCUUGUUUUGUUAAAUGAUAGGUACUAUAGAAACUACAUUGUUCCAUCCAUGGUUUAUUACUUGGGGUUAUUUUGUGAGCCUUUACUUGUUCCAUACUUCUUGGAUAGGUUUAAGGUUACCGAGAGGGUAAAAGUUGUCUUCUCCCAAUUUAAUUACCAUAAGGAGGUGUGGUGUGAUGUUUUUCCCAUAACCUAUGGUCGUGUGAGCUUAGGAGCUGAUUGGUUUGCACAACAUAAAGUCCCAAAUAUGCAAAAUUGGCCUAAUAUUGUAAGAGAUCGAUGGGUAAAUUACCUCGAGACGUACAUUCUGCCUGGGCCGCAAAAAAAAGUUCCUACCUACUCCAAUUCAAAUUAUUAUGAGAGACAAAAUAUUGAGAGGAGUAAGGAAGUGAAAAAUGGUAAUCCGAGAGUGGAAAAAGGAGAGGUUGUGUUGAGCGAAGUGAGGGGAUUACCACCAAACCGUGCUAACUUUGGUUGUCCUUCUAUUUAUAUAGACAUUUCUAGGUACCAACAUGGCAAGCGAAGGCAACCAAUGUCAAAAGGAAGUUUCUUCCCAAAGCUUAUGGAGGACCUUCACCUCACGGCAAGAAAAAGUCUACUCAAGAUCUUCAAGGUAAAAUAACUAACUCUUACACUUUAAUGCACGUGAAUAAUAAUUGUAUGGCUAGUAAUCCAUUGAGUGUGAGUGAUAGAUUACUUAUUUAUGAGUCUAAUAACUCCUUGCCUCUUGUUGAUGAUGUACAUAUUGUGAGUGUGGAUACACUAGUUGAUCCUAUUAAUGACAAAAUUGACUCCUCUUGUGAGAUCAAUUUAUGUCCACCUAGUGUUGAAGCCUAUAUAUUGAAUGGAAGUACAUCGUCUUGUCUAAUGGGUGUUGAUCAACUUGUUUGUGAAAACUGUCCACUACUUGAGUAUGUGUGUGAUGUGCUUAAUAGGACUCAAGUGAGUGAAGUAUUUGAAAAUGUUGGUCAACAAAGUGAGAAUGAACCCGAGAGCUAUUCUUGGGGUAAUAUUGUGUUUGAAACAUCCUUGAAACUUGAUAUUGAUCAUUUAGAGAGUAAGGAACUUUUUUGUUCCAAAUCUAUCCGUGAGGUAGAUUAGACUCUUUUUAGGUAUAAUGUCUUGUUUGAAGAUGAUUUUAAACACUCCUAAUGAACCUAGUGGUGAAAUAAUGGUAUAGCUUGCCUUGGAAGCUAUAGCCUAUAUGCUAACCUACUAUGGUAUGACAACAUUCCUCCUAAAGAGGGAAAUCUCUUCUUGGAAGAUGAGAGUACUCUUAACGGUAAGGAAUGUGUAGUUGCGGAAGCUACUUCUUCUUCCACUUUGUGUGAUUUCAUUGUUGAGAGUACUCAUGAUGAUUAUUGGGAAACUAGUAGUGAGUACACACAUGAGAGCACCUUAGUAGAAGUCGAUUUAAGUAAUACCUUUCUCUACUCUCUAUUUUCUUUAGAUGAUAUGUAUGUUAUUAUAGAGAGUAUGUCAUUUAGUUUGGGUGUAGACCAAGAGAAAGGGAAGUGUUGUCGAGACCCAUGUCUAUGGCCACUUUUCCCAUUUGACCUCGGUGCCAAAUUUAGAAAUGGUGAUAUUGGUGCACCAAACUUGUUGAUUGGUCUACAUGACAAGCAAAGUGUCACUUUUGAUGUAUCCAAUUACCAAAUCCUAUGUACAUCUUUUAUUGAGUUUUUAAUAUUCCUUUCAAAGGAUUCUUGGUUAUAUUGCAAAUAUGUGCAACCUUGGCAUAUUGAGAUGAUUUUUUAUGCUAACCCCUCAUGCCAUGAGGAGUUUGUAUUUGUUUGUCCUCUCUUUGGGUUUGCAAGGUUUGGAUUCGAGGUCGAAUCCUUUUCAAGAAGGGAAGGAUGAUAUGGGACAAAUGGCCAUCUUAUCUUUUGAUGACAUCUUUGGAGGCCAACACAUAGAGGCUCAAGACUUGGUCACCUCGAGAAUACAAGAACAUGCAUGGAGGAGCCAUUUUGAGCAUAACUUAAAGCAAUCUCGCGUGUGGAAGAUUACUUGGAGCAUUUAAUAUUGAGGACUCAUGGUUUUAGACCUUAAUUAAGGGCAUUUUGGACAUUACACAUAUUGUAUUUACACACCAUGGCUGCACCUAUCAUUAAGGCAGAAGUGGUCUUUUUGUCUUCUUUUGUAUUACACUAUAAAUAGGUCAUUUUAGCUCAUUUCUUUGCAUAUUUUGGAAUGAUAAAGAAUUACAAGAAAUAUUUUCUCUCUUUUGAGAGUGUAAAACCCUUAGUUGUAGGGCUUGGAAAAGCUAUCCUUAGCAUAGGGCUUGGAAAAUCCAAUAUUGAUCUUUGCUUGGAAACGGUAGAUCUUGAGGUGAGUUGAUUCCCUUGGUGGUCACCAUAAGAGUGUGGUUUUGAUUGCUACAUUCAUUAGGGGUUAGUGUUGAAAUACACUUGGUUCUUAAUCUUGUAAUAAUCUUGGUCUCACUAUCUAUCUUUAUUUUCUAUGCAACUUCCCUUGUGUUUGUGUUAAAUCCGUGACUUGUUUCAUCUUGUGUCAUUGUUGCUGUUUUGGUGUUAAAAUGCACCUUGUAUCUUGUAAUCCUUGUGUUUUUAUUGUUGGCCAAAAGUUGCUCUCAAAGAGGUCCUCGGGUUCUAGUUGAUUUGUGGACUCUUUUGAGUAGUUUUUGAGCCUUUUCUUGUGUUCCUUGGUCUUCUUGUAUCAGUAUUGGUGAAAACAUCAAUAGACCACCAGUUAAACAUCGAAUUUUGAACUUCUUAGCCUUCAAGUGAGAGUUAUUUUGCCCUUUUGGAAUGACAAACUCCAAAAUAUAAGGAAUUUGUACCUUAUCUCCAAAGUUUAUCACUUGCUCGGAUGGUUCAACUUUAAUCAUAUCCAUCAAGCAUAGUGUCGAAAAAUGAUUAGAAUGAGGUUGUCUUCCCAAUUUUGGAUUCACAUUCUUCUUGAUAUUCUCACCCUAAGAUGAACUAGAGCCUUAACAAAAGAUUUGCUUAGCUUUUUAUUCAACUCUAGUACCAUUUCCUCAAUUUUGGCAUCCUUCAUUAUUUUUGGUUCGGUUGGUUGAGAAAUCACCAAGAAUCCUUUAACAUCAAUCUCACCAUCAACCACAUGGCUUGAUAUCUUUUCUUUAUCAACUUCAUUUUAAAGAUUAGCAUAUUCAUGGUACUUGAAAGAUCGGCCUCCUCACCUACUUCUUCUUCCUUUUCACUUUUUUUUUUCAAAUGCUACCAUGGAUUGAUGUAAGAGAUCCAUGUUUUGUCCCAUUGUAGUCACCCAGUCCAAGAUAGUUAGAAGGAUUGUUUCAACACUAUUGUAUUCGACACGUUGUUCAUCUUUUAUCACUUCAUGAAACCUAUCAAACUCAUAAGAAAAAUUAGCAUUUUUAUUCAUUUGGACAAUUACUCCAGUGUCUAUCUCGACCACCACAUAAAGAAUAAUUAUAGUCCCAAUAGGAUCAAGAUGGUACACACACCUCUUUUUGGUAAUCAUAUUUACAAUUUUGCAAAAAGUGAGGUCCACCACAAUAUGGGCAUGAAUCAUCAAGAUAAGAUUUGCAAUCACCAAACUCAUAUUUAUUCCAAGAUACCAUAGUGACAAGUAAAGAAAAAUAAAAAUCUAUCUAACACAAGAAACAAAUGAUAAUCACAAACAAAUAUUCACAAGUUUGAAUCAAAGAAAGUAAGCUACAAUUUCAAACUAACUCAAUACACCAAAUUGUUCUCUGACAAUGGCGUCAUUUUUUAUAAUGCUCAACUUACAUAUCAAAUUAAGUGCAAGGCGGUCGUUGUCAAUAUAAUUACUCAACUUUGAGUCGGGGUAAAAUCCACGAGGAAAAUAUGAAUGGUGAUCGAGUAAGUUUAAAAUAAAAGUUACUUGCUAAAUUCAAAUAUGGGAAUGCAAAUAUUUGGGGGUUUUGAAUGUUUUUAAAACUAUAACAACUUUAGGGCUUCUAGAAGACUAACGCGGGGCUAAGAAUAAUUAGGGUAUAAUCAAUUAGGAAUGAAUCUUGGGGUUAUGUCAUUCUAGGUGUGAAUUCAUACAUGGGUAAUUGAGAAUCUAUCCAAAUUUAGCUAGGAGUCGUGGGUAGGCUAGAUUUAAGGUAUUAGUGUUAGUCUUUCAACAAAACACUGAAUUUCACUCAUGGAUUCUUUCAUAUAGCUCGUGAAUGUGACAAAAUCAUCAACCCAAUACCUCAUACUAGCAUCUUUAUUUCUAAGAUGAUGCUUUUGAAUAUAGAAAAUCCAUACAACAUCCCUAUUUCUAAGAUAAUUCCAUGAGAGAAACUAAUUCAAAGUGUAGUUCACUACUAGUCAUCACCUAUAUUCCUCUUUCAAGGAUGAUAUGGGAUCCAAGUCAAUUGGGAUUUUCACCCACAAUUCUCAAUUACAACCUAGAGUAAUAGCAAAACCCAUAACAAAUAGCUAAUUAGGUAGAUAAAUAAGCAACAUCCAUGCACUAAUCAUAACCUAUCCAAGCAUAAUCCCAAGAGGAAGAACUAGCACUCAUAAAGAUAGAGGGUACGGAUAUACCAAAAUUUUCACCAAAUUGAUCCAUGAAAGAUAAAGAGAAUGUAAAUCCAAACUUUAAAUUCCAAUAAACCUUCAAUGACAAUUGCUAAUCAUUCACUUAGAAAUUACUCUAAGGUCUUCUUAGCUCAAGAGUAGUACAAAAAUAAUGAUCCAAGCACCAAGAAAUGAGAUCAAAAAUCCUAAAGAUCCCCCCCAUGUGAAAGGGUUUAACCCCUUAAGAUUUGGAACUCAUAUCUGUGAAAUUACAAUUUUUCCCUUGAGACUUUUCCAUCCUAUCAUGAUCGUCAUUCCUUGGUUGUGAUCAUAAUACCACGAUCACAGUUGUCCUGUUGUGAUUGCCUAUCAAUUGACAUAUUGAUUGGUCAUGAUCACGACCUUCAGGCCGCGAUUGCGGUACCUAAGGGUCGACUCCUGGGCCUGCAAUUUUAGCUCUUUCUCCUUUUUGUCCAUUUUUCUUUUUUUUCAGCUUGAUUUCAACUCAUUUUUAUCAUAGGAUCUGCAAGAUAACAAAAACCUGAAUUUAGUACAUUUCAAUUUAGAAUCAGCCUCAUUUACACAAUUUAAUCAUAGUAGUGUGCAAGAAUUUAGAUAUUAAAGAGUGGUAAUUUGUCACCUAUCAUGUGUCUACUUGUUCAACUUUAUACAAGUUUAACUGCCUACUUGUGCACACCCAAAGUUGAAGGUCGUAGAUGUGAUUUGAGGUCAAGUUAAAGGACAUGUUUAUCUAUUAUGCCAUAAUUUUAUUUAGCAUAAGAGGGCAUUAAAUAGCCAACUUGAAACAACAAAUCUGCAUAAUUUAAAAUUCAAAAUCCUAAACUUUCUCAACAAACUAAUCUCUCUCUAUUAGGAAUUUCAAAUUCAAAUUUAUCCUAAAAUUAGGAACUUGUUAUACUUAAAAGUUACUGUCGUAACUAAAGUAAACUUCAACAUGCCUUAUUUUCUUUAGUUACUGCAAUUUAAAAAAUUAUACCUCCUCAACUUUUUCUCUAGCAGUUGAUGCCAGAUUUUUUGUUGAACUUGUACAUUUGUUCGUAUUUAUAUUUUUUUUAUUUUUUUUAUUUUGAUUUUGUGCUUAAAAAACACCACUAGUGACCUUGUCUUGUUUGAAAGAUCUUUUGAAUUGCCUUCAUCUUAACAAUGAUUGGAUUUGUAAAAUGUUGUUGUAAGUAUUUUUCUUCCAUCACGACAACACACAUGGCAUAAGUUAUAAAAUAUGAUUUCAUUUUCACUAAACAAGAUUGAUAGUUUUGUCAGUGAAACCUUUUUGGACAUUUAAAGAGAGACUGUUGCUUGACAUUGAUAUUUGUUGAAAAUAGCCUUAUGCUUUGAAAAUAAGCACGCGUUGAAAAUGGUAGCCCUACGGAUUAAAAUAGGUAAGCCCUUAUGGGUUAAAAAGGUAGCCCUUACGGGUUAAAAAUGGUAUGGUAGUGCUUCGAAAGAACUCACAGAUUCCAUAAGAUCAAUGAAGCUCUUGAUAUCAUGUUGAUUUAAAAAAAAUGGGGAAGCAAAAAGGUGGUUAUAAUUGUUCUCAAUGGAUUGAAAUACUUUCAAUAAUUUUAUUAAGCAUAAGAGGGCUUUAAAUAACCAACUUGAAACAACAAAUCUACUUAAUUAAAAAUUCAAAAAUCUAAACUAUCCCAACAAACUAAUAUCUAUCUAUUAGAAAUUUUAAAUUCAAAUUUAUCCUAAAAUGAGAAACUUAUUUAACUGAAAAGUUACUGUAGUAACUAAAGUAAACUUAAACAGUUAGUUCUUAUCGAGAUUGAUUUUUAAGUAGGAAAAAAAUAAAAAAUUUGGUCAAGAAAGUAUACUUUGAUCUGUAAGUCCAUGAAAAGGAGAUGGUAUGUUUUUUCAUUGUGGUUCAAUGUAGUGGCAAGAAUUGGUGAAGAUGCAAGCAGAUUGAUAGAGAAAACAAAUGAAAAAUAAAAAUAAAAAUAGAUUAUGGCUUUCCACUCUCUUAGAGAAGAGCGCAUUGAACAUGCUAUGCCAUGUCAGCAACAUGUGCUUAUGCGGUAUAAUUUAAUUUAAGUUUAAGAGUUCAAUAGUAAUAAUGCUUUCUUCAAUUGUCAAUACAGAAAAAUCGAACAAGGAGGCCACUUAUGUAUUACGCUCCUUAUUAUAUUCCUGGCCUGAUUGUACUUCAUAAUCCUCCAAAGUAGCCAUGAUCAUCUCUAUAGAACUUUUUUUAGCAGAGACAACUUAUUGUAUCAUCUACAUAAGCAAGAUGUUAAAAUUUGCACUCUACGUGGGCAUAUCAAAACCUAUGAACAACCCAUUGCCAAAUAAAGCAUUUAGUGCUCUGACCAGCACCUUUGGAGAUAGAAUGAAAAGAGCUGGAAAGGAGGAUUCCCUUGCUUCACUCGCUGGUAGACUGAACGAAAGUAUGAGCUUGGCAAGUGAUUAUUGUUGACUAACAAAUGUUAGCAUUGCUACUGCUCCAUAGGUAUGCAAAAAAUAUUAUUCUAAAAUUAUUGGUAUGUAUAGAUAUAUAUAUAUAUAUAUAUAUAUAUAUAUAUAUAUAUNNNNNNNNNNNNUAUAGAGAGAGAGAGAGAGAGAGAGAGAGAGAGAGAUAAGACAUUAAAACUACCUUAAACUAUGGUUGAAAAGUUGAAGACACGUCUAAACUAUUGUAGUGAUAUAAUAUGCACAUGUACUACUUAAACGUGAAUUUAAUACCCCCAGACAUAUAUAACCAGUUACACAAGGAGAGGUGUUACUCGCUCGCCCUUUCACUUUGCCAUGAUUUUCACAUGAGGUAUAAUUUGAUUUUACUUUUUUCAUAGUUUUUUCAUUGUUUUCAUUUUACAUUUAUUUAAAUUUAAUCUUUUUCUAAUAUUUACUAAAAUACAAAAACAAGAAAAAGUAAAGAAAAUCGAAAUACAAUAAGAAAAUAGGGAUAAAAAGACAAACACAAGAAGAGGAAAAGUAAGCACACCAAAGGUACAUUAACUAAUGAUCCUCAAAUGAUAUCCUACAACGAGCACCUAAAUCCCACGAAGACCGAGAGAAAAAUUAAUCCACUCACAACUAACAUUUAUAAAAAAACAAGAAGCUCCCAACAAGCUUAGAAAAUACUCUCAAGUGCAAGUGCAUCUAAAAUCAUCUAAACCUAUAAAAAGAGGAAACCUAAUUAUUUAUAGUCUUGUGGUAUUUGUUAAAGAAUGGGCCCAAAAUUGAUCCUAAAUGCAAAAUGAGCCCAAAGUGACCCUAAAACCAAUUACCCAAUUGGGAGAUCCUCCACCUUAGCCAAUCUUCAUCAAGGUGGAUCACAAAACUCCUCUUCAUCCCUAAAACAUCGCCAAUUAGCAUGAGUGAGAAUCUUUGGGGUAAUUUGAGAUGUAUCACUUUUAACAUUCUAUUUUCUUUUUCGAUGUAAUUAACAUGGAUUUUCUAUUGUUGCUCAUUAGACAUUACGGGUGGCUAAUGGCAUAAUAAUUUCAGAGAAAAAUAAGAAGAAUUGAACGCUUUAUGAAAGUGAUUAAAUUGGACUUUUUUGGUCAUACUAGUUUGUUAAUUUCAUAACAAUAUCAACAUAAAGAAGGUUGGAAUGAAAGACACGAAUAUGAACCAAAUGAUCGAAAAAAUAAGGCUCAUUGGAAUAAUGUAAACUCAUUCAUUGAAAAAAAUGAAAGCUUGCCGAAAUUAAUUAUUUCUAUCAUAAGAUUCAAUAAUUUUAAAAUUAAAAUAUAACUUUUGAGUAAAAGAAUGAACUAACUAAUAUAAUCUAUCUAAUUUGUAACUGGAAGAAGUGAAAGAUAGCCACGAAAUUAUGUAGAUUAGUCUGCUAGUAAAGAUAUGGAUAAAUUACACAAACCCACUAAAACAUGAGUCAUUAAUACAUAAAAUCCCGUACUUUUUAGAAAAUUACAUAAAAUCACAUAAUUUAGUUUUUCUCUCAUUAACACUUGAUACAUACUCACCCCUCAUAUACCGCUUCUAUUUCACGAAAAAUGCCUCUUUCUACACAUUGAAAUAUUUCAUUACCUAAAAUAUCUGUCUCACAAACGUGUUUCUUUCUAAUAUUUUUCAAUUAUCUUAACUCCCCACGAUUUAACAAACAGUCAUGGUGGUGGCUUAUCGGUCAUCUCUCGCCGGUGACUACUAGCAGAAAAGAGGAAAGAGGAUGAAAAGAUGAGGAGGGUGCUGAGAUGAGAUGAGAAAGGAGAAUCUGAUAUAAAACGAUGCCAUUUUUGACUGAAAUAGAGUUUGAAUUUGCUGAAUUUUCACCAAUUUCAUUCUUUUUUCCUGAUCCUUGUAUUAAUUUAAAAUCUUUUUUUCAAAAAGAUAAAGAGGAGAAAUUAAUUUCGAUGAGAACAGAAAAUAUGGUUGUAACACCCCAUAUUUUCCUAGCAUAAUCUAAGUCCCAAUACAUGAGUAUUAGUAUAUAAAAUUUUCAAAACACUCGUUAUUCUUCAGUUUAGAGCAUGCCAUUACAUAGAAAAUUCAAUUAGCUUUUCAUCGAUAUAAAAUUUGCCCAAAUCCAAUAAUCAGGUAAGAAGUUAUGGCGAUUUUAAGUUUCAGUCAUUAGACCCUGUCAUUUUAACCCUUAGAGCAUCGUGGAGCUAGUCUAAGUAAUGAUUGUUAAUUUCCAGUGGAGGUAUGGGAUCUUGGCGCAUCGCGCUAAAGACCAAAUUAGCAUUUGGCAGUUUCUAGUGUCUCUCCGCGAUUCCACCGCGUCACGGUGAACUUUAAGGUCCCAAUAAGUGAAGGACCGCAACUUUCCCCGUGUCGUGCCCUAGAACAAUUUCCCAAUUAUCCAUUUCCAAUGGCUUGGCGUGAUAGUGGCGCGUCGCGACAAGGCAAAAAAUUGGGAUCUUCAGUUUUCAGCUUCCAUUUUUAAAUUCGUUCAACGGUAUUUGGGUAUUGUUCCUAAGCCCUAAACUCGUCCUAAAACACAAAAUUUAACCCUAAUUUACCUAAAUAAUCAUUCAUUAUUCAAUUACUCUUAAAUUAAAGAUCCCCUUUUCCAAGAACAAGAAACCUUAGCUCUCAAAUUCAAGACCAAUACUCAGGAACUCAUCCAGAACUUUAAGAAAUUCAUUAUCCCAAGUAUGUUAGAUGUUCAUCCAUGGAUCCCAAGUAACCCAUUUUAAUUACCAAGUUAUAAUCUUUUCAAGUUAUUAUGUUAAAUUAUGAUUUUAUCCAUGAAUGUCCACGUACUAUUGAUUUUACACCAUGCUACCAUGAAAUUAUUGUUAUUAUUCAAUCCUCCAUGUUUUAAUAUUAUUAUUUAUUGAAUUAAACCAUGAAUUAACGCUAUUAUGAUGAAAUCAUGAUAUUUCUAUAAUUUUUAUGACAUUCCUAUGAUCGUUUUAAACCAUGAACUAUAAGUGUUUGAUAAAAUGACUACAAGAGUGAUUGAUUUAAUAAAAGCCUUCAUGUUUUAUCCCCCAAGCUUUAGUGUCAUUUUACUAUUGUUGUUUGAGUUUUGGGGGAUUGAAUACCCAAAAACCAUAGUUUUUUAUUUAGUCUAGCUCAAUACAUUACAGAAUAGUCUUUAGAAUAUACUAUGAGCAUUAUCAGAAUAGUAAAUAUCACUCAGUUAAACUCAGAACAGUCUAAUAUUUCAGUGUCUUUCAAUUGGGAGUAGGAUUAAAGUGAGAGUAGGGAUGAUGGCUUCAUCGUUAGAUAGACAAAGUCAUUAGUAGCAGUCCCUAUACUAUAGAACUACGUAGCCAGUGGAUAUGAGAAGUCACCCAUUAUAUUAGGCUUGACUAUCUCGCAGGGGUCACCCAUCAAUUCAAGCUUGACACUCUUAGUCUUUUGGACAUUAUAUCAGUUUAGUGAAUCCACACAGCCAGUGUUAGUACCCGUGGCACGGUAUUAAUACCUUUCUAACUGGGGUUAUAGGUUGGACCCCGAUUAGCUUAAAUUAGGGAAUGUUGGUUAGAUGAUACCUCCUAUGGUCUCAGAUACAGUCACAGUUCAAUUAUGCAGUCUUAGAGUUGUUUGACCAAAGCAUACAGAUAUUAUUGUUUUUUUUAGUAUUUCAGUUUACAGAUUUUACUCAGUCCAUGUUAUAUGCUUGGUCAUGUAUCCCCAGUGUCUAUAGAUUUUCACGUAUCUUCAGUAGUUAUAGACUGUCAUGCGUACUCGGUAUUUACAAAUUCUCCAUAUUUUUAGUAUCUAUAGAUUCCAUGUUCUCUACUCAGUACUUUAUGUUUUACAUGCAUAUUCAGUUAACUAUUAGUUCUAUUCAUGAAACCAUGCAUAUCAGCCUACCUUAUUUAGCAUACCAGUAUAUUAAAAGUACUGAUCGCAUACCUUUCUUUUGCGCUAUGAUGUAUCAUAUCAUAGGUGUUGACACUCAGCUUCCGAACCGCGCUUAGACCUCACUUCUCAUCCUAUCAGUAGUAGAGUAGCAGUAGUGAGUCCUCAUCAUUCGAGGACAGAUUAUUUUACUUCAUAUCUCUAUUUUAGUAGUUAGCAGAGUUAGUUGGGGCUGUCCCAUCAACUCAUAUUCAGUCAGUCAGUUUUAGAGGCUUUUCAGAUGUUAGAGUCAGUUAUUUAGUAUUCUGAUUUUUAAUUGACAUGUCAAUUUAUCAGUAUUUAAUCAGAUUUAGACAUUUUUUCUAUAGAUUCAUAUUUCAGUAUUGAUUUAGUAAUAAAACCUUAUGGCAUUAUCAGAUGUUUUCCAUAAUUAUGAUAUUAUUAUUUAGUGCUCAUAGCAAGUACCAGCUUAUGGGUUAGCUUAUGGUCCCUCGAUACUGUAAGCACCGUGUGACGCCCAGGGUAUACUAUUAGGGUGUUAAAAACUUGGUAUUAGAGCCUAAGGUUUUAAAGUGUCUUAGGAAGUAUGAAAGUCGCAUCAAGUAGAGUCUUAUGCAUACGUGUGUAGCACGCCACACUUAUGAAUGAGAGGAUACGAGGCGUUUAGGAAAAAUUUCCCUUCUUUAGUAUUUAUGUCAUAUGAGUGAGCAUGAGCUCAAGUUAAACUCCCUGUCUAAUCCAUUUCUUCCUUCCAUUUACUAAACAUGCCUCCCAAGAAGAAUGGAAGAAGAAUAGGAAACUAGCCAUCCCCUCAGCCCAUCUAGGCAGAUCCUCUGGAUGAGCAUGUCUCUCACACAGAAUUCAGAGUUGCAUUCACUACUCUAGCAAACUCCAUAGUAGAACAGAAUAAAUGGCCAGCUAUUGUUUCAGCCAACCCAGGGGCCAAUACUGCUGCAACCAGAAUUUGGGAUUUCACCCGAAUGAAUUCUCCUUAUUUUACGGGAUCCAAAUUUGAAGAGGAUCCACAGAAAUUCUUAGAUAUAGUUUAGAAAUUCAUGAAUGCUAUGGGGUGACAUCUAGUCAGAGUGCUGAGUUGGAUGCAUACCAGUUGCAAGAUAUAGACCAUACUUGGUUUAAGCAAUGAAAGGAUGAUAGGGGUGUAGAUGCAAGGAUUGUAGAAUGGGAAGAGUUUGCCACGGCUUUCUUACAUAAAUUCUCCCCAUUGGAGUUGAGGAAGGCCAAGGUGUUAGAAUUUAUUAACUUAAGGCAGGGAAACAUGAGCGUGAUGGAGUAUUCCCUCAAGUUUACUCAAUUAGCUAGAUAUGUUCCUCAUGUGGUAACUAAUAACAGGUCCAAGAUAAGUAAUUUUGUGUCUGGUGUAUCAGAUAGUGUGGUCAAAAAGUAUAGGAAUACAAUAUUGAUUAGUGAGAUAGACUUGUCUAGGUUGAUGGUCUAUGCUCAAUAAAUAAAGGAGCAAAAUAUUAAAAAAAGAAAAAGAGGAAAUAAAAGGGCUAGGAUGGGUAGUUUUAACUUCAGUCAGCCAAAGUUAGAAGGUGGUAACCGUCCUCAGUUUCAUUAGAGGUCUUCAUCCCCAGUAUCCUCUUCAGUCAGUGCUCCCAUACCUAAAUUCAAAAACGACAAUAAGGUAGAGCACCAGGCUCUAAGUCCCAGGUCAGUGUUAGCAGUGCUCGUACAAAUCCUCUAUGUCAGAAAUCUAGAAGACACCAUCAGGGUGAGUGUAGAGAGGGUAGUAAUGUGUGCUUCGGGUGUGGAAAGCUAGCCAAUAGGAUUUGGGGGUGUCGGGUAGUUGCUCAGAAAGGUAGGCCCUCAAUCGUCAGUUCCAUUUGGUCGCCUAACUCAGCAGGGUGCCGCUUCUAGUGCUACCAGUGGUCAGCGUCUGAACAAAUUAUAUGUUCUUCAGUCCCGCCAAGAUCAGGAAAAUUCUCUUAACGUAGUUACUGGUAUGUUGCAGGUCUUUCACUUACAUGUUUAUGCUUUACUAGACCCUGGAGCUUCUCUUUUUUUUGUAACUUCAUACAUAGCCUUCAAAUUCAGAGUCAGUCCCCAAGCUCUAGCAGAGCCCUUUUUAGUGUCUACCCCAGUAGGUAUUUCCAUUGUAGCCAGACAGAUAUACAGGAUCUAUCCGAUCACAAUAUCUCAGAAAGCCACUUCAGUUAAUGUCGUAGAGUUAGAAAUAAUGGAUUUUGAUAUUAUUCUCGACAUGGAUUGGCUCCACUUAUGCUAUGCCUCAGUUGAUUGUAGAAACAGAAUAGUUUAUUUUCAGUUCUUAAAUAAACCAGUCCUUAAAUAGAGGGGUGGUACCACAGUUCUUAGGGUUCAGUUGAUUCAUACUUUGGAGCUAGAAUCAGUUCCAGUAGUAAAUGAAUUCUCAGAUGUAUUUUUUGAAGAUCUUCCUAGAGUUUCUCCUAAAAGGGAAAUCGACUUCGAAAUAGAUCUUCUUCCAGAUAUUCGUCCCAUAUCUAUUCCACUAUACAGAAUGGCUCCAACCAAACUCAAAAAGUUAAAAGAACAGUUAAAAGAUCUUCUAGAUAAGGGAUUCAUUAGACCGAGUGUCUCCCCAUGGGGUGUACCUGUUCUAUUCAUGCAUAAGAAAUAUGGUUCUCUCAGACUGUGCAUAGACUACCGUCAGUUGAACAAAGUCAUAGUCAAGAAUAAAUAUCCACUUCCUAGAAUCGAUGACUUGUUUGAUCAACUUCAGGGUGCCAGCUAAUUUUCAAAGAUAGACCUCAGAUCAGGCUAUCAUCAGCUUAAAGUCAGGGAAUGUGAAUUCCAAAAAUAGCUUUCCAAACUUGGUAUGGUCACUUUGAAUUUCUAGUCUUGUCCUUUGGUCUCACGAAUACCCCAGAAGCCUUCAUGGACUUGAUGAACCGAGUGUUCAAGCAGUACUUGGAUAUGUUUGUCAUAGUCUUUAUUGAUGACAUUCUUGUUUACUCCCAUAGCAAAACUAAUUAUGCAGACCAACUUAGAAUAGUGUUACAAACUCUUAGAGCUCACCAGUUAUUCGCUAAAUUCGGAAAGUAUGAAUUCUGGCUAAGAUUAGUAGUUUUCUUGGCCAUAUUAUUUCUGGUGAUGGCAUUAGAGUUGAUCCUCAAAGAACCAAGGUAGUGAGAAACUAGCUUAUACCCAUCUCUCCAUCAGAUAUUAGGAGUUUCUUAGGUUUAGCUGGCUAUUACCGUUGGUUUGUUGAAGGUUUUUCUUCUAUUACAUCCCCAGUGUCCAAAUUGACUCAGAAGAAAGUUAAGUUUCAGUAGUCAGAUUCAUGCGAGAAGAGUUUUCAGGAGUUGAAGACUUGACUCAUCUCAUCCCCAGUCUUGACUCUACCAGAUGGUUCAGAUGGUUUUGUUAUGUACUGUGAUGCAUCCAGAGUAGGUUUGGGUUGUGUCCUCAUGCAGAGAGGUAAGGUCAUAGCCAAAAAUCUUAAACCCUAUGAGAAGAAUUACCUUACUCAUGAUUUUGACUUAGCAGUUGUAGUGAUUGCCUUAUAGAUUUGGAGACAUUACUUGUAUGGGGUGCAUGUAGAUGUGUUCACAGAUCACAAAAGCCUUCAGUAUAUGUUCUCUUAGAAAGAUUUGAAUUUGCAUUACAGAAGGUGGUUAGAAUUAUUAAAGAAUUAUGACAUAAGUAUUCUGUAUCAUUCGGGAAAGGCCAAUUUAGUGGUUAAUGCUCUCAGUAGAUUGAUCAUGGGUAGUGUAGCUCAUGUUGAGGAUGGUAAGAAAUAGUUAGCUCAGGAAGUCCAUCAGCUUGCCCGACUAUGUGUCUGCUUAGUUGACUCAGCAGAAGGUAGUGUAUGGAUGCAGAGUAGCUCAGAAUCAUCUCUAGUUUCUAAGGUGAAGGAAUAGCAGGAUAGAGAUCCUAAUCUAGUUAAGUUGAAAGAAUCAAUCAGCGAUCAUAAAGUGGAGGUUUUCUCCCAAGGGGGAUAUGGUGUGUUGCGUUGUCAGGGUAGAUUGUGUGUGCCUGGUGUAGAUAACUUAAGGCAACGAAUUCUUGCAGAAGAGCAUGGUGCAUGUUACUCUAUUCAUCUAGGGGCCACUAAGAUGUGCCAUAAUUUAUGAGAGAUCGAUUGGUAGAGUGGGAUGAAGAGGGAUAUUGCAGAGUUUAUGGCUACAAGUCAGCAAGUUAAGAUUGAGCACCAUAAGCCCAGUAGGUUCAUACAGGAGUUCAGUAUUCCCACUUGGAAGUAGGAGGAAGUGAACAAGGAUUUUGUGACAAGUUUACCUCAUACCCAUCAUCAGCAUGAUUCUAUUUGGGUCAUCGUAUAUAGGAUGACCAAAUCAGUCCAUUUCUUGCCAGUCCAUACCUCUUAUUCAGUCGAGGACUAUCCCAAACUCUAUCUUAGAGAGUUUGUCAGGUUACACGAUGUUUCCUUAUCUAUCGUCUCAGAUAGAGGUACCUAAGUUACCUCUCACUUCUGGAUAGCAUUCCAAAAGGGUCGUGGUACCCAAGUCCAUCUCAGUACAGCUUUUCACCCUCAGACAAAUGGUCAAGCAGAAAGGACCAUUCAAACUUUAGAGGAUAUGCUGAGAGCAUGCGUAGUUGAUUUUAAAGGUAUUUGGGAUAACCAUUUUUCUUUGAUUGAAUUCGUAUACAAUAACAGUUAUUAUUCCAGUAUUCGUAUGGCUCUAUUUGAGUCUCUCUAUGGUAGGAGAUAUAUAUCUCCAAAUGGUUGGUUUGAAGUAGGUGAGGUCGUAGUAGUAGGGCCUGAUUUGGUGUUUGAUACAUUAUAGAAGGUUCAAAUGAUCAGAGAAAGGCUUAAGGCUGCCUAGAGCCAAUAGAAAUUGUACAUAAAUAUAAGAAGGAAGGAUCUCGAAUUUGAGGUUAGUGAUUUUGUGUACUUGAAGAUCUCUUCCAUGAAGGGAGUGAAGAGAUUCAGCAAGAAAGGGAAACUCUGUCCCCGAUAUGUAGGUCCCUUCAGAAUUCUCAGUCAUUUUAAAAAGGUAGCUUACGAGCUUGAGUUGCUUUCAGAUCUAGCCUCAAUACACCCAGUGUUUCAUGUCUCAUUGUUGAAAAAGUGUAUUGGUGAUCCAGAUGUAGUUGUUCCCUCAGAAAGUGUAGAUAUUUAGGACAGUCUUUCCUUUAAGGAAGUUCCAGUCAAAAUUCUUGAUCAUCAAGUUCGUAGACUAAGGAAAAAAGAAGUGCCACUAGUUAAAGUUCUUUGGAUGAAACAGUCCAUUGAGGGAGCCACUUGGGAAGCAGAGGCAGAUAUGCGGACCAAGUACCCUCAUCUUUUCUCUGCAAAUCCAGAUUCAGUAUAAGGUACUAAUCUUCUUAAGAUUUCUCUCUAUCAUGCUCGAUUUCAGUUGCGCAUCAUGUUUAUGUCAGUCGUGCAUUUUCAAAUUAGUUCAGUCAUGUAACCCAUGCAUCAGAUAUGCAUGUUCAGUGUCUAAGCUCAGUCCAACAGUUUUUCUCAAUUAACUAGUUUCAUUCGAGGAUGAAUGAUCUCAAAGGGGAGAUAUUGUAACACCCCGUAUUUCUCUAGCAUAAUCUAAGUCCCAAAACAUAAGUAUUCGUAUAUAAAAUUUUUGAACUCACUAGUCUUCAGUUUAGAGUCUGCCAUUGCAUAGAAAUUCAAUUAGCUUUUCAACGAUAUAAAAUUUGCCCAAAUUCGAUAAUCGGGUAAGAAGUUAUGGCGAUUUUAAGUUUUAGUCGUUAGACCCUGUCAUUUUAACCCUUAGCGCGUCAUGGAUCUAGUCUAAGUGAUUGGUAAUUUCCAGUGGAGCUGCGCGAUCUUGGCGUAUCGCGCCAAAGGCCAAAUUGGCAUUUGGUAGUUUCCAAUGCCUCUCCGCAAUUUCACCACAUCGCGGUGAACUUCCAGGUCCCAAUCAGUGAAGGUUCGUGAUUUUCCCCGCAUCACGCCACAGACCCGUUUCCUAGUUGUCCAUUGUAACACCCCAAAUCCAAUACCCAGAAUGCUACACGGUGCUCAUCACCUCGAAGGACCACAAGUUAACCCAUGACUGAUAUUUGUAGUGUAUACUGUAUAAUACACUAUAUAAUUGCGGAACAUGAACUGAAAGGCCGUAAGGUUCAAAACUGAUAAAAUAUAACAUCUGGAUGGGGUAUGAAAUACCUAAAACAACUGAAAUAAACUGCCUGAACAUGAUAGUCUAAAAAACCUCUAUUUGACUGAACUGUCUGAUUUAAGAGUUGAUGGGACAUAUCACCAACUAGUUCCAACUACUGAAACAACUAAGUACUGCAAUAAUAAAAAGAUCAAAUCAUAACGUCCUCGAAAGAUGAGAACUCACUACUGACUGACUACUGAUAUCUGGAAUUUACUAAUGCUUUAGAGCUCGUGUCUCUGAACCUAUGGUAUAAGACAACAUAGCGCAAAUGCGUCAGUACUUUGAAUGUACUGGUAUGCAUGUGAGGUAGGCUGAAUGCAUGGGUUUCAUAUGAAUGAACAAUAACAAUGGCAGACUGACUAUCAUGAGCAUGAGAAUACAUGCAUUAGAUAUAAUAACUGAUACAAAUACCGUGAUAACAUGAUUACUGAAUCUGAAUACUAAUAACAUAACAUACUGAUAACUGAUAUAACUAAUAACAUGAGUGACUGUAUCAGACAGUCAUGAAUCUAAUGGAACUAGCUGAGCUCCGUACUGUGUUUGAGUUGACUGUAUCUGACAGUCUUAAAAUCUGAAAAACUAUCUGACUUCUAUUAUUGAAACUGAUUGACUGUGUCUGACAGUCUUAAUUCUGUAACAUGAAGCUAUGGGAAGUAGUUAUCUAACCGACAUACCCCUAAUAUGCCAUUAUGGCUGAGUUGGCGUCCAAUCUGUAACCCCAAUUGGAAGGGUGUCAAUAUCGCGCCACUGGUAAGGACAAGCUAUGGGUGACCCUCAUCUGAUAGUGUCCCCAAAAGAGAACAGUGGGGCCCUUAUCUGACAGGGCUUAUCCAUCUCAUCAACCCUUAUCGAAUAGUGUUGAUGUCUCAACCUAUACUGGAUACAUAGUUCUAGAAUGCAAGGAUGUCUUCUAAGAAUCACACCCUCGUCUGAUAGUGUGUGUUCCUAUCCCUGGGUUCACUUGGUGCUAAUUCCUACUCCCAUCUGAAUAGAGUCUGAACAUGAUUAACUUAACUGACCAUGGGCUGAGUCACUGAAUUCUGUUGUCUGACAGAAUACUACUGAUAUCUGACAACUGACUGAGUUCAUGAGAUCAUGGAGAUUUCUUAAGUCAUAAGACUGUCUGAAUCCUACGGAUUCAUAGCUUGAUUGAGAGUACCAUGAAAAUAUGACAUGGCUCUGGGCAAACAGCUAAUGUUUUGGGUACGAGUACCCCCAGGACUUGAUGGAAGGAAACUGACCAAUCAUAACUUACUUGAACAUAUAACUAAUAUCACAAUCCAUAAUACAUUUAUAGAAGCAUUUCAGCAAAACAUAUGAUAAGCAUAACUUGUACAUACAUGGGGAUUUCAUGGUAUCAUACUAGUUAGGCACUUUUCCUUCAUCUAGGCAUUUAAUCAAACAUAUUGUAGGCAUGGUACAUGUAAACAUCAUUAUACAAUAAUUAAACAUCAUGGUUCAAUUCUAAUUUCAUCAUUCAAGGGUUUAAUCAUAGGUUUGCAUGAAUCUAUAUCUAUAAUAAUUUAACCCACAUAGAAUUUAUCACCCAACAUGGAGUAGAAUUUAAUUUUUCAUUAUCCACAUGAACAAGAGUAGCCCAAUCAUGAAAUUCAUAAGAAAAUCCAUAAACUUGAAUUUAGAAAAGGGAUUCUUGGGCUUCAUGGAUGAAAGGAGUCCAUGAAUGAACACUAUGCAUACCUUGGAUCAUAAAUACACGAAGAUUGACGGAAGAAAUUCUUGAUUCUGAAUCUUCUAUGAAAAACCCUAAGUUGUUCUUGAGAGGUUUUUGAGAGAAGAGAGUGUAUUUUGGGUGAAAAGUGGCUGAAUCACGUGUUAAAGGGCUUAAAUAGGGGUGGAAAAUUGAUCAUUUUAACCCUAGACGUGUAUUGUAAUUUUAGCAAAAAUUUCCAAAUUGGACCCCCAGUGCGAUGCGGCGCUGUCGCGCCGUGUCACUGAAAUUUGAUAAUUGGAAAACUGAGGAAUGGUGCGACAUAGAACCAUCGUGUUGCCCCUUCUUUUGCGACCUAGAACUUUGGCGCGACGAAGAGGAAAUCGCGCUGAGACACUGGAAAAGGACAAUUACCAUUUUAGCUUGUGGCGCGGAACGCCACUGAUCAAUAUGGCGUUGUUUUACGACGGGAACUUAAAAUAGUCAUAACUUCUUACUCGGUUAUCGGAUUUUGACGAAUUUUAUAUCGAUGGAAAGCUUAUUGAAUUUAUCACAUGGAAAAAAGUGAAAAUCUUAAAAAUACCACGUGUACAAAAGUAGAUUCAUCUUUCAAAGAAAGCACCUAAUAUUUUUUAAAUGAUUUUAAGCCAGGAAAAGGUACGGGGUAUUACAAUAUCUCCCCCUUGAGAAAAUUCAUCCUAGAAUAAGACUGAGAGUGAGGGGAAGAACAUAAAAUGGCAUACAUACUGAGCAUGAAUAACUAAAACAUGAUCUCAUGACUUCAAGACUGAUAACUGAAUAUAUCAUACUGAACAUGCAUAUCUGAUGCUUGUGUAACUGAUUCAUGAAUGGAUGACUGUGUGUUCUGAGGAACUAAGUUUCUCCCAAUGAGAAUUCAUGUCUGAUGCACAAUUAUAUAACUGAACUGAUACAUGAAUGCAUGACUGAAUAUGCAAUGGUACUUGAUGCCAAGUUUGUGAUGAACACUGAAAAUGAAACUGAGUAAGCUUAAGGAGAACUGUUACCUUAAGCUUGAUCUGAGUUGGCGGUGAAGAUAUGAGGAUACUUGGUACGCAUUUCUGCUUAUUCUCCCUAAGUAGCUCCCUUAAUGGACUGAUUUCACCAAAGAACUUUAACUAGAGCGACUUCUUUAUUCCUCAGUGUACGAUUCUGAUAGUCUAGGAUUUCGACCGAAAUCUCUUUAUAAGAGAGGCUGUUCUAAACAUCUACCUAUGAAUAGGGAUUACAACUAUUGGGUCACCUAUACACUUCUUGAGGUAAGAGACAUGAAAUACUGGAUGGACUGCAGCUAGAUCUGACGGCAAUUUGAGCUUAUAAGCUACUUUGCUGAAGCGACUGAGAAUUUUGAAGGGACCGGCAUAUUGGGGACUAGGGUUUCCCUUCUUGCCGAACCUCUUCACUCCUUUCAUGAGAGAGAUAUUUAGGUAGACAUAAUAACCAAUCUCAAACUUGAGAUCUUUUCUAUGAACAUCUGUAUAAGACUUCUGUCAGCUCUGAGCAGCCCGGAGUCUUUCUCUGAUCAACUGGACUUUUUAUAAGGCAUCGAAUACCAAGUCAGGCCCUAUAACUGAGGCCUCACUAACUUCAAACCAACCAACUGGAGAUCUACAUCUCCUACAGUAGAGAGCUUCAAAUGGAGCCAUACAAAUAUUGGAAUGAUAGUUGUUGUAUACAAACUCAAUCAAAGGCAAGUGGUCAUCGCAACAACCCUUGAAAUUAAUUGCACACGCUCGUAGCAUAUCUUCUAAAGUUUGAAUGGUCCUUUAUGCUUGACCAUCCGUCUGAGGAUGAAAGGUUGUACUGAGAUGAACUUGGGUACCAAGACCCUUUUGGAACAUUUUCCAGAAGUGAGAGGUGAACUGGGUACCUUUGUCUGAGAUAAUAGAUAAUGGAACAUCGUGUAAUCUGACCAACUCCCUAAUGUAGAGUCUGCCAUAAUCCUCGACUGAAUAAGAGGUAUGAACUGGAAGGAAAUAGGCUGAUUUGGUCAUCCUAUCUACAAUGACCCAAACUGAAUCAUGUUGAUGACGAGUUUGAGGCAAACCCGUCACUAAGUCCAUGUUCACUUCUUCCCACUUCUAAGUAGAAAUAUUGAACUCCUGCAUAGGACCACUAGGCUUCUGAUGCUCUAUCUUAACCUGCUGACAUGUAGAGCACUUAGCCAUAAAUUCUUCAAUAUCUCUCUUCAUCCCACUCCACCAAUAGUCUUCCCGCAAGUCGCGGUACAACUUUGUGGCCCCUGGAUGAAUAGAGUAGCGUACACCAUGCACUUCUGCAAGAAUUCGUUGUCUUAAGUAAUCUACACCUAGAACACAUAGAAAACCCUAACAACACAAAACACUAUCUCCACCUUGGGAGAAAACCUCUACUUUCUGAUCCUGAACUGACUCUUUCAACUUGACAAGGUUGGGAUCUCUAUCUUGCUUUUCUUUCACCUCGAAAACUAGAGAUGAUUCUAAACUACUCUAAACCUAUAUAUCAACCUCAACUGUAUCGAAUAACCAAACGCCUAGUCUGACAAGCUGAUGUACUUUUGAGCUAACUUCCUCUUACUGUCAUCCACAUAAGCAACACUACCCAUAGACAGUCUACUGAGAGCGUCGGCCACUAUAUUGGCCUUGCCCGGAUGAUAAAGGACACUCAUGUCAUAAUCUUUCAAGAGCUCUAACCACCUUCUCUGACGAAGAUUGAGAUCUUUCUUAGAAAAAACAUAUUGAAGACUCUUAUGAUCUGUGAAGACAUCUGUAUGAACUCCGUAGAGAUAAUGCCUCCAAAUCUUUAAGGCAAAGACUAUGGCUGCUAACUCAAGAUCAUGAGUAGGAUAAUUCUUUUCAUGGGGUUUAAGCUGUUUGGAGACGUAGGCUAUGACCUUACCAUGCUGCAUAAGGACACAACCUAAACCCACUCUGGAUGCAUCAGAAUACACUACAAACCCAUCUGGACCAUCUAGAAGAGCUAAAACUGGAGUUGAGGUGAGUCGAAUCUUCAACUCCUAAAAACUCUUCUUGCAAGGAUCUGACCACUGAAACUUGACUUUCUUUUGAGUCAAUCUGGACAUAGGGGAUGCAAUAGAAGAAAAUCACUCAACAAACUAUCUGUAAUAGCUAUCCAAACCUAAAAAACUCCUGAUGUCUGAUGGAGAGACAGGUCUAGUCCAGUUUCUUACCGCUUUGGUCUUUUGAAGAUCUACUCUAAUGCCAUCACCCGAAAUGAUAUGACCAAGGAAUGCUACUGACCUUAGCCAAAAUUUGCACUUACUGAAUUUAGCAAAUAGCUGAUGAUCUCUGAGAGUCUGAAGUACUAUUCUGAGAUGAUCUGCAUGAUCUCUCUCACUGCAAGAAUAGACCAGAAUAUCAUCUAUGAAGACUAUGACGAACAUGCCCAAGUACUGUUUGAACACGCGGUUCAUCAAGUCCAUGAAAGUUGCUGGAGCAUUGGUAAGACCAAAUGACAUGACAAGGAAUUCAAAGUGACCAUACUGAGUAUGUAAAGCUAUUUUUAGAAUGUCACAUUCUCUAACUCUGAGCGGAUGAUAGCCGAAUCUGAGGUCUAUUUUGGAGAAAUAGCUAGCACCCUGAAGUUGGUCAAACAAGUCAUUGAUUCUUGGAAGAGGAUACUUGUUCUUGACCGUGAUCUUAUUAAGUUGACGGGAGUCUAUACACAUUUUGAGAGAUCCGUCUUUCUUACGUACGAAUAAGAUUGGUAUGCCCCACAAGGACACACUGGGUCUGAUAAAUCCCUUAUCUAAGAGAUCCUUCAAUUGUUCUUUCAAUUCUCUGAGUUCUGCUGGUUCCAUUCUAUAUGGAGAAAUAGAGAUGGGCUGAGUAUCUGGAAGAAGAUCAAUGCCGAAGUCUAUUUCCCUUUCGGGAGAAAUUCCUGAAAGAUUUUUGAGAAAGACAUCUGAAUAUUCAUUCACAACUAGAACGGAUUCAAUACUGGGAGUUUCAAAACUGAAAUACUUAACAUGAACAAGAUGAUAGACACAUCCCUUAGAUAUCAUUUUCCUUGCCCGAAGGUAGGAAACAAUCUGACCCCCGAAAGUAGAUACACCACCAUUCCACUCAAGGACAGGUUCAUUUGUGAACUGAAACUGGACUAUCCUAUUUCUGUAGUUGACUAUGGCAUAGAAGGAAAGAAGCCAAUCCAUGCUGAGAAUGACAUCAAAAUUAGUCAUCUCUAAUUCGACUAGAUCUGCUAAAGUAAUUUUCUGAAAUAUCAUAAUCGUGCAGUUUCUGUAUACCCAUCAGGCUAUGAUGGUUUUACCCACUAGGGUAGAGACUGAAAAGGGAUCUGCUAGAAUUUUAGGACUGACUCUGAAAUCAACUGUUAUAUAGGAGUAACAAAAGACAAGGAAGCACCUAGAUCUAGCAAAGAGUAAAUAUGCACAUGAAAGAUCUAACGUACCAGUAACCACAUCAGGAGAAUUUUCUUGAUCUUUCUAGGAAUGGAGAGUAUAGAAUCUGUUUGGGCGUUGCCCACUAGCAGCACUGAAGAUGGCACCCUGUUGAUUUGGGCGAUCGUAUUGAGCUGAGGAGCGACGAUGACUCUGAUAACCUGACUGAGGGUAGUCUCUGACUCUGUGUCCUGGCUUACCACAACCAAAAUAGACAUCGUUGCUAGCUCUGCACACACCCUUGUAGUUCUUACCACAAGUUUGACAAAGGGGAUUAGUUCGGGCACUGCUAACACUGCCUUGAGACUUAGAGCCUGGCGCUCUGUCUCUAUUGCCAUCUAUGAAUUUUGGCACUGGAGCACUGGCUGAAGAAAGAGCUGGAACUGAUGACUUAGGACAAAUCUGAGAAUGAUUGCCUCCCUCUGACUUAGGCUGACUAAAAUUAAAGCUACCUGUCCUAGCUAUCUUAUUUUGCUUCUCCUCUGCUUAAUCUUCUGCUCCUCUAUCUGCUAAGCAUGAGUCAUAAGCCUGGCUAAAGUCAUGUCACUAUUUAGCAUGACGGAUCUGCACUUAUUUACCACGCUAUCAUUCACCCCUAAAACGAACUUAUUUAUAUUGGCCCUGAUAUCUGCAACCACAUGAGGGGCAUAUCUGGCAAAUUGAGUAACCUUAAGAGAAUACUCUUUCACUAUCAUGUUUCCCUGCCUGAAGUUGAUGAAUUCUAACACCUUAGCUUCUUUAAGAUCUAGGGGAAAGAAUCUAUCUAAGAAUGCAGAAGCAAACUCCUCCCACUCAACUAAUCCUGCAUCAUCUGGCCUUUCUGACUUCUACUGUUUAAAUCAAGUGUGAGCAACAUCCUGCAACUAAUAUAUAGCUAGCUCAAUACUCUCACUAGAAGUAACCCCCAUUAUGUCUGUAACCGUCUGCACCUGAUCUAGGAAUUCCUGAGGGUCCUCAUCUGACUUAGACCCGAGAAAGGAUGGAAGAUUCAUUCGGGUAAAAUCCCGAAUCCUGGCUACAGCUGAAUUGGCCACUGGAUUGGCCAAAAUGAUAGUUGGUCGUUCAUUGAGUAGCACUAAGUUAGCAAGAGUAGUGAAUGUAGCUUAGAACUUUGCAUGAGAAAUAUGUUCACUCACAGGUUUUUCGGGCUGAGGUGCUGGCUGAUUCCCAUUUCUUUUUUUAGGAGCCAUGUUCUGUAGGAGAAAGGGAGAAAUGGAUUAGACUGAGAGAUUGACUUGAGAUUAUGCUCACUGGAAUGACAUGAAUACUGAAAGAGGGGAAACUGUUCCUAAAAUAUCUUAUAGUCUCUUAUACAUAAAUGUUGCAUGAAAUACACCUAUGUACAAGACUCUACUAGAUGCGGCUUUCAGACUUCCUAGGACUCUAUUGAACCUAUCUUUGAUACCAAGUUUGUAACACCCCGAAUCUGGUACCCAAAAUGCUAUACGAUGCUCAUGACUCCGAACGAUCAUAAGCUAACCCAUGACUGAUAUUUAUACCUGUAUACUGUAUAAUACACUAUAUAAUUGCGGAACAUGAACUGAAAGGCCAUAAGGUUCAAAACUGAUAAACAUAACUAAUAAAAUAUAAUAUCUGGGUAGGUAUGAAAUAUCCAAAACAACUGAAAUAAGCUGCCUGAACAUGAUAGUCUGAAAGGCCUCUAUUUGACAGAACUAUCUAAUUUAAGAGUUGAUGGGACAUAUCCCCAACUAACUCCAACUACUAAAGUAACUAAGUACUGAAAUAAUGAAAAGAUUAAAUCAUAACGUCCUUGAAGGAUGAGGACUCACUGCUAAUCGAACGACUACUGAUAUUUGGAAUCUACUGAUGCUCUGGAGCUCGUGUCACUAAACCUAUGGUAUAAGACACCAUAGGGCAAAUACGUCAGUACUUUAAAUGUGUUGGUAUGCAUGUGAGGUAGGCUGAAUACAUGGGGUUCAUAUGCAUGAACAAUAACAAUAGCAGACUGACUAUCAUGAGUAUGAGAAUACAUGCAUGAGACAUAAUAACUGACACUGAUACUGUGAUAAUAUGAUUACUAAAUCUAAAUAUUGAUAACAUGACAUACUGAUAACUGAUGUAACUGAAAACAUAAGUGAUUGUAUCUGACAGUACUGAAUUUGAUGGAACUAACUGAGUUUCGUACUGUAUCUGAGUUGACUGUAUCUAACAGUCCUGAAAUCUAAGAACUAUCUGAGUUUUAUUACUGAGACUGAUUGACUGUGUCUGACAGUCCUGAUUCUAUAACAUAAAACUGUGGGAAGUAAUUAUCUAAUCGAUAUGCCCCUAAUAUGCCAUUAUGGCUGAGUUGAGGUCCAAUCUGUAACUCCAAUUGAAGGGGUGUCAAUACCACGCCACUGGUAAGGACAAGAUGUGGGUGACCCUCUUCUGAUAGUGUCCUCAAAAAAGAAUGGUGGGGCCCUUAUCUGACAGUGCUUAUCCACUUCAUCAACCCUCAUCUGAUAGUGUUGAUGUCUUAACCUAUGCUGGCUACAUAGUUCUGGAAUGCAAGAAUGACUUCUAAGUAUCACACCCUCAUCUGAUAGUGUUGAUGUCUUAACCUAUGCUGGCUACAUAGUUCUGGAAUGCAAGAAUGACUUCUAAGUAUCACACCCUCAUCUGAUAGUGUGUGUUCCCAUCCUUGCGUUCACUCGGUGCUAAUUCCUACUCCCAUCUAAAUAGACUCUGAACAUGAUUAACUUAACUGACCAUGGUUUGAGUUACUGAAUUCCGUUGACUGACAAAAUGCUACUGAUAUCUGAAAACUGACUGAGUUCAUGAGAUCAUGGAGAUUUCCUUAGUCAUAAGAUUGUCUGAAGUCUAAGGAUUCAUAGCUUGACUAAGAGUAUCGUGAUAAUAUGACAUGGCUCUAGGCACAAAGCUAAUGUUUCGGGUAUGAGUACCCCCAGAACUCGAUGGAAGGAAACUGACCAAGCAUAACAUAUGAUAGGCAUAACUUGUACAUACAUGGGGAUUUCAUGUAUCAUGCUAGUUAAGCACUUUUCCUUCAUCUAGGCAUUUAAUCAAACAUAUUGUAGGCAUGGUACAUGUAAACAUCAUUGUACAGUAAUUAAACAUCAUGGUUCAAUUCCAAUUUCAUCAUUCAAGGGUUUAGUCAUAGGUUUGCAUGAAUCUAUAUCUAUAAUAAUUUAACCCACAUAGAAUUUAUCACCCAACAUGGAGUAGAAUUCAAUUUUUCAUUAUCCACAUGAACAAGAAUGGCCCAAUCAUGAAAUUCAUAAGAAAAUCCAUAAACUUGAAUUUAGAAAAGGGAUUCUUGGGCUUCAUGGAUAAAAAGAGUCCAUGAAUGAACACUAUGCAUACCUUGGUUCGUAAAUACACGAAGAUUGACGGAGGAAAUUCUUGAUUCUAAAUCUUCUAUGAAAAGCCCUAGGUUGUUCUUGAGAGGUUUUUGAGAGAAGAGAGUGUAUUUUGGAUGAAAAGUGGUUGAAUCACGUGUUAAAAGGCUUAAGGGUUGAGAAAUUAACCCUUUUAACCCUGGACGCGUCUUGUAAUUCAGUAAAAAUUUCCCGAAUUAGACCCUUGGUGCGACGUGGCGCUAUUGCGCCGUGUCACUGGAAUUUGACAAUUGUGAAACUGAGGGAUGGUGCAAUGCGGAGCCAUCGCGUUGCCCCUUCUUUUGCGACCUGGAACUUUGGCGCAACGCGGAGGAAAUCGCGCUAAGACACUAGAAAAGGACAAUUGCUAUUUUAGCUUGUGGUACGGCGCGCCACUGACCAAUAUGGUGCUAUUUUAUGACGGAAACUUGAAAUAGUUAUAACUUCUUACCCGGUUAUCAGAUUUAGGCCAAUUUUAUAUCGAUGGAAAGCUUAUUGAAUUUUCCACAUGAUAAAAAGUGAGAAUCUUAAAAAUACCACGUUUACAAAAGUGGAUUUAUCUUUCAAAGAAAGCUUCUAACAUUUUUUAGACGAUUUCAAGCUAGGAAAAGGUACGAGGUAUUACAUCCAUUUCUAGUGGCUUGGCGCGAUAUGGCGCAUCGCGCCAAGGCAAAAAAUUAGGAUCUUCAGUUUUCAGCUUCCAUUUUUAAAUUCGUUCAAGGGUAUUUGGGUAUUUUUCCUAAGCCCUAAACUCGUCCUAAAACACAAAAUUUAGCCCCAAUUGACCUAAAUAAUCAUUCAUUAUUCAAUUUCUCUCAAAUUAAAGAUCCCCUUUUCCUAGAACAAGAAACCCUAAAUCUUAAAUUCAAGACCAAUCCUCAGGAGCUCACCCAGAACUUCAAGAAAUUCAUUAUCCCACGUAUGUCAGAUGUUCAUCCAUGGAUUCCUUUGAUCCAUGGAGCUCAAGUAACCCUUUUUAAUCACCAAGUUAUAAUGUUUUCAAGUUAUUAUGUUAAAAUUAUGAUUUCAUUCAUGAAUCUCCACGUACUAUUGAUUUUAUACCAUGCUACCAUGAAAUUAUUGUUAUUAUUCAAUCCUCCAUGUUUUAAUAUUAUUAUUUAUUGAAUUAAACCAUGAAUUAAUGUUAUUUCUAUAAUUUUCAUGACAUUCCUAUGAUUGUCUUAAACCAUGAACUACUAGUGUUUGAUAAAAUGCCUACAAGAGUGAUUGAUUUAAUAAAUGCCUUCAUGUUUUAUCCCCCAAGCUUUAGUAUCAUUUUCUAUUGUUGUUUUGAAUCUUGGGGGUAUUGAAUACCCGAAAACCAUAGUUGUUUAUUUAGUCUAGUCUCAGUACAUUACAGAAUAGUCUUCAAAACAUACUAUGAGCAUUAUCAGAAUAGUUAAAUAUCAGUCAGUUAAACUCAAAACAGUAUAGUAUUUUAGUGUCUUUUAGUUGGGAGUAGGAUUUAGCACCGAGCGAAUGUAGGGAUGACGGCUUCCCCUUCAGAUAGGUAGAGUCGAUAGUAGCAGUCCCUAUACUCCAGAACUACGUAGCCAGUGUAGGAUAUGAGAAAUCACCCAUCAGAUUAGGCUUGACUAUCUCGGAGGGGUCACCUAUCAGUUCAGGCUUGACACCCUUAGUCCUUUGGACAUUAUAUCAGUUUAGCAGAUUCACACAACCAGUGUUAGUAUCCGUGGCACGGUAUUAACAUCCUUCCAACUGGGUUACAGGUUGGACCCCGAUUAGCUUAAAUUGGGGAAUAUCGGUUAGAUGAUACCUCCGACAGUCUAAGAUACAGUCUCAGUUACAAUCUCAGUUCAGUUAUACAGUCUUAGAGUUGUUUGACCAAAGCAUACAGAUAUUAGUAUUUUUUUUUCAGUAUUUCAGUUUACAGAUUUUACUCAGUCCAUGUUAUAUGCUUGGUCAUGCAUCCCCAGUUUCUAUAGUUUUUCACAUAUCUUCAGUAUUUACAAACUGUCAUGUGUACUCAGUAUAUACAGAUUCUCCAUAAUUUCAGUAUCUACAGAUUCCAUGUUCUCUACUCGGUACUCCAUGUUUUACAUGCAUAUUCAGUUAAUUAUUAGUUUUGGUCAUGAAACCAUGCAUAUCAGCCUACCUCAUUUUAGCAUACCAAUACAUUCAAAGUUCUGAUCGCAUACCUUUCUUUUGCGCUAUGAUGUAUCAUAUCAUAAGUGCUAAUGCUCAGCUCCCGAACCGCGCUCUCACUCCUCAGGCUAUCAGCAGUACAGUAGCAGUGGUUAGUCCUCAUCAUUUGAGGAUAGAUUAUUUUACUUCAUAUCUCUAUUUCAGUAGUUAGCAAGGUUAGUUUGGGGCUUGUCCUAUCAACUCAUAUUCAGUCAGUCAGUUUUAUAGGUUUUUCAGACAUUAGAGUCAGUUAUUCAGUAUUUGAAUUUUCAAUCGAUAUGUCAGUUUAUCAGUAUUUAAUCAGAUUCAAUCAGUUUUUCUAUAGGUUCAUAUUUCAGUAUUGAUUUAGUAAUAAAACCUUAUGGCAUUAUCAGAUGUUUUCACAAUUAUGAUAUUAUUAUUCAGUGCUCACAGCAGGUACCAACUCAUGGGUUGGCUUAUGGUCCCUCAGGACUAUAAGCACCGUGUGACGCCCAAGGUGUACUUUCAGGGUGUUACAAUGGUGGUGGUGGUGAUAGUGCCAGCAAAAGAUGAGGUUGGCAGAUUAAUGUAUCAAUUACAAGUGUCAAGUAUACAUGCAUCAGACAUAUGCACCAAAUAAAUGUAUUUGAUACAUAUAUAGAUGCAUAUCAAUAAUUUAUAUUCUCUUU